CCCUCACGAAGCCACUCCUCGUCGGUGGUCCUGACCCAGCGGAGGGCCUCCACGGCGUCGUCAUAGGCUGCGGGGAGGCGGUGCUCCGGAGCGAGGUGGUAGCUGGCGGAGACGACCACGGCCCCGAGCCUCGCCGCCAUGAGGGAGCAGAAAUUGUGGUUCUUCACGGAGGCCGGGGAGAUCAAGAUGAAACCCCCGCCGUGGUAGUACAUGAUGAGCGGCAGUUUCCGGUCGGGCGGGGGUGACGGGCGAGGCAGGUAGAUCUGAGCCCAAGUGUUGCGGGUCGGGUCAAGCGGGACGUCCUUGGAGCGGACGGCAAAGGGCUGGUCGGGGUUGGGCACGGCGGGGACAGUCGGAUCGUCGAGGCCGCGCGUGACCAUGCCGUCUGGGUGGAGGACAAGUUUGAGGUGGUCAUAGGCGUCGACGGCCGGAGCAGGAUCGAGAUCCGCAUGUUGACCGGCCACGUUUGCUCUGCUCGACCUCGAGGUGGAACUGAAGAAACAGGGAAACCGUUAUUUAUUAUCGACCUGAGGUCAAUGAUUAUACUUUAUAGGCACCACGAGGUCCAUCAUGGCGACUUAAUAAUGGAGUUUCUUACUAACCUCUCAGCAAUUGAAAACAGCUUACAUUGGGAUCCGACUAAUUCAACACUUCACUACAUUUAUAUAAAGGAUUAGGCACAGUUGAUGCCAUGAUUUGAGAACAAUAAUAAUAAUAAUAAUAAUAUACUUGUCAAAAGAAUAAAAGGAAUAUCCAUCAAGGCUUCAUGCAAAAGAGAGAGAGAAAGGAAAAAUAAUACAAAAUUUCCCUGAAUUUUAGCACAAUAUGUAAUUUGAUUUCUAAAUUUUUAAUUUGUUUAAUGUGAUCUUUGAAUUUUAGUCCGAUGUGCAAUGUUUUGUUCUUAAAUUAUUCAAUGUGGUUUAUGAAUUUUUAGUACAUGUUAUAUUUGUUCCUAAACAAUAUGAAAAUGUAGGAAAUUAUCCCUGAUUUUUUCUUUUUUUGGUGGCUAUCCGAUUUCUCUCAAAAGUCAAAAAGUCAAAUGCAGUCUAGCGCAAGGGCAUUGAUAAGGAUUUACAUACAGACAUAUAUUGGUUCCCCUGUCUAUUUCCCCAUUUUUUCCACGUCACUUCAGUCAUUACAUGUUUUUCGCCUCUUCAUGUCCUCGAGUGAUAGUUGUCACCUCUUUCUAUUAAUGUAAUUAAGUGCAAUUAAUGUAAUUAACUGAGUGAUAAUUAUCACCUCUUCAUAUCCUUGCGCGAUAAUCGCCCACCAUUAGGGUAACAACAUUGAUGAAAGGAUGUUAUAAAAGCUAAGAAUGAGAUAUGGGAGACAAAUUUAAGCCAAGCUCUCUCGUAAAGGAAAAACACGUCAAGUUGGGAAAGAAUAUUAAAUUAGUGGUGCCCAUUUUUUUGAGUCAAAACUUUGCGAAUUCAGUUUCAACUGAGCUUAAUCAAUGGCCAGAGGUUAGUUACAAUUCAUCUUAUUUUUUCCACGUUUGAUUCAUUUAUGCACGGAUUUUUUUUUUCAAUGCAUAAUUAGAUCAUACUUAUUUUUAUCAUUUGGUGCCCAUUUUUUUGGGUCAAAACUUUGCAAAUUCAGUUUCAAGUUUUCAACUGAGCUUAAUCAAUGGCAGGAGGUUAGUUACAAUUCAUCUUAUUUUUUCCACGUUCGAUUCAUUUAUGCACGAAAUUUUAUUCUUCAAUGCAUAAUUAGAUCAUACUUAGUUUUAUCAUUGGUAUCAGAGCCAUUGUCUUGGUGUUUUUUUUUCUUUUUUUUAUAGGGUUUAGUAAAUUAAAAAAGAAAUUCAUUUUACCCCCUCGCUUGCCACCAUAUGGAAAAUAUUUUUGUAAGUGAAACUAUUGAGAGACUAGUUUAGUAAUUGUUUUAAGUAUUAUUUAGUCACUAGUACUAGUUAGAUAUAAUCACUCUACUGAGAAGAUUUUCAAUUUAAUCCUCCGCUUGCAACUUUCCAGAGUUAUAGGAUUUACAUGGACUGUUUUGGCAAUUAUUUAAUUACUAUGUAGUCAAUGUUUGCAGAAUUUUUUUUGCAUGAAUUAAAAUAUCUAGUGAUCAAUAUAUAUUUUAAUUUAAUUAGAGAUUAGCUACCACAUCUUUAAUUAUAUUAAAUUAUAUAUUAUAAGCAUUUGGAUCACAUAUAGAAAAUUACAUUUAUUGUGAUUAACACAAUGAAUUUUAUCCCGUAUGAAUUUUCAUUAUAUUAAUAUGAUUAAUUAGGAUAAAAUACAAUAUUAUUUUUUUAAUCCAUGGGAAUUAGCAAAAGGAACUAUCAAUAUAUUUAAAUUAGAAACUUAGCCCACAUACAAUUUUUAUAUGUUAUUUGAUUCAUAGUAUGUAACAGGAUUUACAUUGGUAAAACAUGAUGUAUGUUUAUUUGCCUAAAAUUUUGUGACAUAAGUAUGUAUGUUUGUUAUGUAGUUUUACAACUUGUGAUUUCUAUUCAAACACGAUGUUCCUGAAUUGAACGGUGAAAACUAUAAAAUUUGGAAGGAAUUAAUCAAUCUUCAAUUAGGGUGUAUGGACAUUGAUUAUGCUAUUCGGAAAGACGAACCACUUGCUCCUGUUGAUACUAGCACUCAAGCUCAAAUUGCACUUUAUGAUCAAUGAGAGUGGUCCAACCGCUUUAAUGUAAUGUUCACAAUGACUAAAUUUUUUACUAGUACUCGUGGUUCAAUCGUUCAACAUAACAAUGCCAGCACAUUGUUGAAGGCUGUUGACAUGAUAUUUGAGACUUCAAAAAACACAUGCCUUGACUUUGAUUAUAAAGUUUUCAUUUUUGAAGCUCACUAGUAUAAGAGAUGUGUGUCGGCAUGUCUUGAAAAUGCGAGAUAUUGUUGCUCAAUUAAGAAUGUUGAUGUUGAGAUAUCUAAGUCCUUCAUUGUGUACUACAUUCUAAACACUUUUGCACAAUAAUACGCACCUUUCAAGAUCUUUUUUAACACACAUAACAGUAAAUGAUCAAUUAAUGAACUCAUGACCACAUGUGUUUAAGAAGAAAAGAGGUUGCUUAUAAAAUUGGGAGAGAGUGUUCCUUUGACAACACAAGGAAAGAACAAAUGGCAAGGGAAGUAGAAGGGAAAGGGUAAAAUAACCCCUCAAGCUUAACAAAAAGAAGGAAUCCAAAUGUUUUUUCUAUAAAAGAGAGGGCAUUUGAAGAAGAAUUGUGCCAGAUUUAAGACUUGAUUCAAGAAGAAAAGUAAUCAAAUUUCGUGUGUUUAUAUGAAACUAAUAUGAUUAAUGUAAGUCAAAACAUUUGAUGAAUUGACUCUGGAUCUAUAGUCCAUAUUUCGAAUUUCUUGCAAGGUUUUCAAAAGCAUAGGAAACCAAUGAGAAGUAAAUAAUGCAUUUAUUUAGGAAACAAGAUGUGUUCUUAUGUGAGAGCUAUUUGGGACGUGCGGGUUAGUUCUAAGCAGUAGUUUUGUUUUGAAUUUAGAAAUGACCUUUUAUAUUCCAAAUUUUUCUACAAUUUUUAUUCAUUUUUAAGACUUGUACCAUUGGAUAAUUUUUUUAAACUUCUCAUAUGCAAACUUUAGUUUGUCUUUUAAAUCUAAUAUAGUUGGGAAUUGUAUUUUGUCUAAUGGUCUUUCUUUUUUUAAAAUUAAUUUUCAAGAUAAUGCUUUUUAUAAUAUGAUGCAUGCUCAUGAUAUCGCUGGUAUAAAGCAAUGUGUUGUGAAUGAAGAUUGCUGUAUGUUGUGUCAUGAGAUUAUUACACUAUGCCUAGUUCUCCGAACCAAAAUGGUAUAAUGAAAAGAAGAAAUUGAACUUUGUUGGACAUGGCACAAAGUAUGCUUAGUAGCUCCAAACUUCCUAAGUCUCUGUGGACCAAAACUCUUACGAUAACAGUGUAUAUAUUAAAUCAAGUUCCAACCAAAGCUAUUUCAAAGAUGCCAUUUGAGUUAAUGAAGGUUGAAAAUUGAGUUUGCGACAUGUAUGCGUUUGGGGAUGUCUGUCUAAGGUGAGAUUCUUUAGUCUACAAGAAAAUGAAUUGGACCUAAUGAUUAUAAGUGGGUAUUUUAUUGGAUAUGUUGAAAAGUCCAAACAAUAUAUAUUUUAUUGUCAAUCUCAUAUCAUCAGGAAUGUGGAGUCAAUAAAUGCUAAAUUUCUUGAAAAUGACUUGAUUAGUGGGAGCGAUCAAUCCCAUAACCUUGUUCUUAAGAAAAAUCAUUUUGAUAUUUAACCUUCCACCUCAAUUAUUAGAUUGGUUGUUGUUCACAAUGCCUUUUUAAUUUUAUCUGCUAUUGAAUAACCAAUCAUUGAAGUUUCACAACUGGCUAAUAUUGGUAUGCAUAUUUAGUUGUUCAGUAAUUAUCAAAAUUUGUUAAUCAAUUAGUUGAAUAACAUAUAGAAUUUAAGAAGAUUUGCUAGAAUGAAGAAAUUAACAGUUUCUAGUGAUUACAUUAUGUAUUCGUAAAGGCCAACUACAACAUUGGAGCUAAGAAUGAUUCUAAAACAUUUUUAUAAGCCAUGAGUUGCAAUGUAUCUAAUUUAUGGUACAAUGCCAUGAAGAAAAAUAUGAGCUCUAUGGCAUUUAAAGAAGUCUAAAUUUUGGUUGAGUAGCCCAAUGGAGUGAAGGCUAUUGGUUGUAAAUGGGUUUUUAAAACAAACGAUGACUCAUUGGGCAACAUUGAGAGACAUAUAGUUAGACUCGUUGCCAAAGAGUUUACUCAAAAAAAGGAAUCGAUUAUAUAGAAACCUUUUCUCUUAUAUUUAAGAAAGAUGCUCUUUGUAUCAUCUUGACAUUGGUUGCCCAUUCUGAAAUGAAAUUACAUCGAAUGGAUGUAAAAACAAUGUUCCUCAAUGGGGAUCUAGAGGAGGAGGUUUGGUUAUACGAAAAUAUUUUCUCCCGCAUCCUCUUCGUAUCCUUUCGGCAUUGGAUGCCCAUCUUGAAUUGGAACUGCAUCAAAUAGAGUGAAAACAACGUUAAUCAAUGGCCAUCUUAAGAAGGAGGUUUACAUAGAACAAUCAUAAUGAUACUCCUCUAAUGAUGGUGAUCAUUUAGUAUGCAAGUUUAAGAAAUCUUUAUAUGGAUUGAAAAUAGCAUCAUCUAAAUGGUAUUUAAAAUUCAAUGAUAUCAUUUUUUCAUUUGAUUUUGUAGAGAACGUCAUGAACCGAUGUAUGUACUAGAAGGUUAGUGGGAGCAAUUUUUUUUUUUUUUUGGCGCUAUAUGAAUAUGACAAUUUACUUGCAACCAAUAAUAAGGGGUUACUACAUGAGGUGAACAAUUCUUCUCUAAAAUGUUUGACAUGAAAAAUAUGGAUGUGGCAUCUUAUUUUAUUAGCAUUGAGAUUCACAUGGAUAGACCUUGAGACGUUAUAGGACUAUAUCAAGAUACCUACAUCGGUAAAGUGUUAAAAGAGAUUUCAAAUUAAAAAUUAUUUACCAAGUACAACACCUAUCAUGAAUAGUGAUGCUUAAUUUGAACUAAUGCCCAAAGAAUAAUCUAGAAAAGGAAUAAAUGAAGAACAUUUUAUAUGCUUCUGCUGUUGGACUAGAUUUCACAGUUACUAAUCUAUUAAAGGUCAGUUUGCUCAAAAAAAACAAAAAAUCUAUUAAAGGACAGAUCUAUGGCAAUAUGUGUGGCUUGCUCUUUGCUCUAUUUUCUUCUCUUCCUCUUUUCCGAAGAGGAUCAAAUGGGGGCUUUUGCUGAUGCCGAUGGAUCACAAAGAGACCGCAAAAAGGGGGGCUAUCGAGAGGUUGUAUUUUAUAUUCUCGACGUGCUAAAGCUUUUACCUUUCUCCACAUUCAACUGAACAGUGAGAUAGAAUUGAAGUGGUAGGCCGCGAGCAAUCUUCCAUAACUCGACUCCAAUGUGUGGUUUACGCCACGCAUACCGAUUCGAAAAUGUCCCGAGGCGUAGAAGCUAUUGAUGCUUGAAGUUCGUAUGAGGAUUGGUCCUCCCAUCAAUGAUUGGAAAGGAAUGGAGAAAGAGUGCAAAAGAAAAGCUUACGUGCAUCACACAUCAUAAUCAUUGGGGUUGAAAGAAACCCAUGCCUUUUCAUAUUGUGGAGAUAAGAAUGACGUAUCAGGGCACAUUUAUGCUACUCAACUUCACUUUCUUACAAGAUAAUAAUGUUACUUUUAUUCGAUAGAUGACAUCCGUCUUUGACCGCCGGUAAUCUUCCCGUCCCCGGCUGCCGGAAUAGCUGAGCCGCUAGCUCAAAUGAUACCUUUCAGUUUCUUGAACAAAAGCUCUGCCUUAACUGGUUCCAGCAUCUCCACUCCAUGAUAAUCGCCUUUGCCGCCGAAAAGGCCCACCCCUUCCAUGCCCUUCGCCUCCAGCUCCGCCGCCAACUCCCUCUGCUGAUCUAUUAUUGAGUCUCCCCCACCGCCGGCCACCACCACUUUGCCACCCCAGCUUUUUAAUCCUCUCCUACUCCUCUGAUCUCUCCCCAGCCAUUGGUUUGCAACACUCGUGGUCCCGGUCAGCGCCAGCCGGCAGCGCCAGCUCCCACAACAGGUCGGCCCCGUUCACUAGCGUGCUGGGGUUGUUGAACAGCCUCACUUCCGACUUGGUCCUCCGGAACCCACCGGAGAAGGGGUGGUGCAAGAUCAGGCCUCUGAUCACCAAAGGCUCCAGAUCGGCUGUGGCGGAGCAUGCGUGCAGGUCCAACAUGGUACGCGAUGUUCCCGCCGGCGCUCGUACUCAUCAGGUAGCACCGUGAGAAGUCAACGCCCUCGCGAAGCCACUCCUCGUCGCUGGUCCUGACCUAGUGGAGGUCCUCCAGGGCAUCGUCCUAGGCCACGGGGAGGCAAUGCUCCAGAGCGCUGCGGUAGCUGGCAGAGACGAUGAUGGCGCCAAGCUUGGCUACCAUGAGGGAGCAGAAAUUGUGGUUUAUCACCGAGGACGGUGAGGAGAAUACGAAACCGCCGCCAUGGUAAUACACAAUGAGGGGUAGUUUUUGGUCGGGUGGUGGUGAUGGGCGAGGCAUGUAAAUCCGGGCCCAAGUAUUGUGGGUCGGGUUGAGUAGGACAUCCUUGGUGCGGACGGCGAAGGGCUGGUCGGGAUUGGGCACGGCGGGGGUAGUUGGAUCGUCGAUGCCGCGUGUGAUCGUGCCGUCUGGGUUGAGGACAAUUUUGAGGUAGUCAUAGGCGUCGACAGCCGGAGCUGGGUCAAGAUCCGGAUGUUGACCGGCCAUGUUUGGUCUGCUCGAGCUCGAGGUGGGACUGAAGAAAGAAAUGGGGAAACAGUUAUUAAUACCUUGAAGUCAACGAUUAUACUUCUCGCGUCUUCCCUUGCAAGUUCAUCUUUUAGGGGCGCCCAAGAGCCAUCGUGAUUUCUCGAUAAUGGAGUUUCUUAUUAACCCUCGACACUUAAAAAAACAGCUUAGAUAAGGACACAACAACAAAUUCAACACUUCACUCCGUUUAUAAAAAAGAUUAUGCCGAGUUGAUGUCACGAUGUGAGAACAAGAAAAAAAUAGUACUCGUAGAAAGAAUAAAAAGAAUAUCCAUCUAAGCUUCACGCAAAAAAAAAAAAAUGAUAUGAAUUAUCCAUGAACUUUAACUCAAUAUGUAAUGUGAUUCCAAAACUUUUAAUCUGUUCAAUGUGAUCUAUAAACUUUAGCCCAACAUGUAAUGUUAUUUUUAAACUUUUAAAUUAUUUAAUGUUAUCUCUAAACUUUUGGUACUGGUUCAAUUUAGUUUAUGAACAAUAUAAAUAUAUUUAAUAUUGUCUCUGAACUUGUUCUUUGUGGAUGUUCAAGUUCUCUUAAAAAAAAGUCAAAUGUUGUUGAGUGUGAUGGCCAAGAUAAGGAUUUACAUAUAUACAUUAUUGGCACGUGAUCGUGCCAAGCACAACUUUGAGGUAAGUCAUGACCAUCCUCGAUUGUGAUUGAAUCAAGGUCUGAACCAUGACCGGUCAUGUUUGCUUUGCUUGAGGUGGGCAUGAAGAAAGAAUUGGGAAAACAUGAUGUACGUUUAUUCGCCUCAAAUUUUAUGGCAUAAGUAUGUAUUUUUAUUAUUCAGUUUCACAACUUGUGAAUAUUUAUGAUUUCAAAAGCGAUGUUCCUAAAUUAAACAGUGACAAUUAUAAAGUUUUGAAGGAAUUAAUCAAUCCUCAAUCGGGGUGCAUAGAAUUGACUAUGCUAAUCGGAAACAUGAACAACCUGUUCUUGUUGAUACUAGCACUCAAGCUCAAAUUGCUCUUUACAAGCAAUGGGAGUGGUCUAGCUGCCUCAAUGAAAUGUUCAAAAGACUAAAAUGUGUACUAGUAUUUGUUGUUCAGUUGUUCAGCAUUGCAAUGCAUUAGCAUUGUUGAGGGCUAUUGAUACGAUAUUUGAGACUUAAAAAAAACGUAUGCCUUGACCCUGAUUAGGGAUAAGUGGAAUAGAAGUCCUAAAACUUGUUACGAAAAUGCAAUUGAAUUUUAAAACUUGCAAAAAGUGCAAUCAAGUCCUAAAACUUGUCAAAUUAGUUCAAUUGAAUCCUAAAAUUAACACUGUUAGACUUACUGGCGGAAAAUACUGAUGUGGCGUGGACAUGGCAUUUUAAAAUUAUUUUUUUAUUCAAAAUUAGAUUUAAAAACUAAAAAAGAAAAGCUAAAAUUUAUUUUAAAAACUUAAAAAAAAGGAAAAAGAAAAUGGUAGCUCCUCCGCCACCGCCGCCCAUCACUGGAGGGGCCAGUGACGGUCAUCGGCCUUGGGCAGAGCAGGCAAGGCCUCAUCAACCCCAGGUGAGGGCCGGUAACCCUCGCCUAGUGCGGGCGAGCCUUGCCGACGACUAUCACCGGCCCCCCCUGAGGGUUAGCGUGCCCAGAUUUGGGCGCCCUCGCUUGGGGCCAGCGAGGCCUCACCUUGGUCGGGCGGGGGCCGACGACCUCCACCCAAGGCCGGUGACCAUCGCCAGCCCUUCUGACAAUGGGCGGUGGCGAUUGCGACGGAGGAGCUGCCAUUUUAUCUUCUUUUUUUUUAAAACAUUUUUUAAAAUAAAUUUUAGCUUUUCCUUUUUAGUUUUUAAAUCUAAUUUUGAGUAAAAAAUAAUUUUAAAAAGCCAUGUGGAAAAUAAAAAAUUAUUUAAAAUGCCACGUCGUCAUUUUCCGUUAGUAAGUCUGACGAUGUUAACUUCAGGACUUAAUUGAACCAAUUUGAUAUGUUUUAGGACUCGAUUGCACUUUUUGCAAAUUUUAGGACUCAAUUGCAUUUUCGUAACAAGUUUUGGGAUUACUAUUGCACUUAUCUCCCUUGAUUAUGAAGUUGUUAUCUUUAAAGCUCACUAUUGUUAGAGGUGUGUGUCGGCAUAUCAUGAAGAUGAGGGAUGUUAUUACUUAGUUGAAGAAUGUUGACGUUGAGAUAUCUGGAUCAUUCCUUGUAUACCACAUUCUAAACACUUUUCUACAAUAAUAUGCACAUUUCAAGAUCUCUUAUAACACGUAGUAAGUACAAUUCAAAUGACAAUACUUUCCUAUGACGUUAAUUUAAGUGUCAACUUUUUUUCGUUCACUUAAGUGCCACAUAUUUGAAAAGUCGAUCUCUUGAGUGCCACUUCUGAUUUGACUUGUUGGAAAAGCUACCAUGGCAUUACAAUAAAAUUAAACUUGCCAACGUGUCUCGCCGACAAGUUGAGUCAGCAAAUGAGAUGGUAAACGACGUCGUUCACCCAUAUAAUUAUAAGAAGUGAAGGGGCUUCACAAAUUGGGGCAAAAUCUCAAUUUCAUUCUUCAUGAACCUUAACCCUAACCUUCGAUCCACAGACUCUAUUUAAUUUCAGGGCAAAUCAUCUCAUCAAAUUCACAAUGGGGAGCAAAAGCAAGAGAAACGGCUCAUGAAUUUCCGAACAAUGUGAAGAUGAAAGUUAGUAUUUAUGCUUUUGUGGAUUGCGAAAUCCAACAAGAGUUUUUUGGACAAGAGAAAAUCCUGGGAGAAGGUUCCAUGGAUGCACUAGGUAUAAAGAAGACUUCAAUUGUGAAUAUUUCAAGUGGGUUGAUGUGGAAUUUUCGAAUCAAGCGAUGAAGGUAAUCUUGGAGCUCCUUCAAGGACAACAUGGAUUUGCACUUGUAAUGAAAGAUGAGUUGGAUAGUACCUACUCUAUGUAAGCAGAAAAAAAAGGUCUAAAUUUUUUUUUAUGAAUCAUUUAAAAAAAUGAAGUUUCAAGUAUAAAGAUUGAAAGAGAUAUUUAUCGAGUGUUGUUUCUCUUAAUGUUGUUGAGUUUGGUUUGGCUUGUGGUCAUAUGUAAUCUCACUAACAAGAAGAAGUUACUGAGUCUACCGUAGUUGAAAAACAAUGAAAUGUGUUUCUGUAGUUGGUGCAAUAACUUUGUUUUCUUUUUUUAAUGAUAUAUAUGGGUGGGUUACUGGUUUUGUAUUAACUUGAAGGUUGAAUGGCCGGGUGGAUAUUGGUGGACGUUGAGUUUUUUGAUGCAAUUUGAGUCCUAUUGUUGAUUUAUACAAAGAAUAGAUGGCUUGACACUCGCGGUAGUGCAGUAAGAGAAGGGAUGGUCCUGCAUUUUGUUGUUGGUUUUAGUGUUUCUACAUAUGUUGAAGGACAAUUGAAGUUUCAAAUAAUUUUACAAAUGAUCAUUUAAAUGCCAUUUUUUUUUUAAAAAUGAACACUUUGGUUCAUCAAUUUUUUAAGAAUUAUAACUUAGGUUCCUUAACUUUUUAAAAGUGAUGACUUGGGUUCAUCAACUUUUUAAUUAAGUUAUUGGUUUCACUUUUAUCAAACACAUAUUGCAUCGUGUAAUAGCUUAAAGCAGAUUAUCAUCCUAUAACAACAUACAAAAUAAGACUUCUUUUGACAAAUAUCAUCAGUUAUGGCAUGAUUUAACCCGAAAUGACAUUACAUCAUACACAUUGCACCAGAAGGUCUUUUACAUCAACAUCGAUGUAAUGAUAAUAUGAAAUAAAAUAAUCUCGACCACCUUAUAAAUUCAAAUCCAAAACAACACUCCUGUUGCUAAACACAUCUCUAGCCAAAAUAUAUUAAUAAUCUCCACCGCCUUACAACAAAAUCCUAAAAUCUUAAACAUUAACACAUAACAACAAACAUAAAAAGAUGGCAUCCACCCAUUGAUCAAUCUAAAGAUUCUUAUCACUUCAUUUUUUUCUUCUUCAAUAGUUUCAUUUGAUUCAUGAGUCUUGUACUCUUAUGAACUAGAAUUCUAGUUACAUCAUUCACUCGUGUACCUUUUCUCAUUAUCUUAUCUUUUAAAGGAUCCGUUGUUUUUCUUUAAGUUUUGCAUGUUUUGGUGUUGCCUAUUGUUGAAGCUUUUGUAAUUAGUAUUGGCACUGUGGUAGAAGGUUGCAAAUUCCCAUGAUCAUUCAUAUGAGGUGGACUUGAUGUUGAAGUCUUAUUUGAUGCCUAUUUUCGAGCCGCCUUCUAUUUUGGACUUGUCAUUAGUUGUUUCUUCAAUUGUGUUUGAGUUACCAUUGAUUGGUUUAUUGAUGCUUGCCCUUGGCUUCUUCUUAUAGAUGCAGUCAAUUUUUGACUUGGUCCUCCUUGAGAUAUCAACACUUCCAAACUUCUCCAAGGUUACAACCACAUAAAUUUCAUUAAUUACCAUGUCAAACAAAUCGAAUACAUUAAAUGCAUAACAACUAAAAAACUGGCAUUCAAAACUAUCAUAUCAAUAUUCAUAUCUGUAAACAACUCAUAGCCAUGUUCUCUUAUCAUUCUCCCAAUUGCACCAUGUGUAUAUUAUAGUGUAAAAUUUUCUGAAACUAAAACCUCUUUACUUUUUUCUUUUUAUAACCUGUAAAAUAAUAUGACAAAAUAUGAAUUUAUUCCAUGACAAAAUACAUAAUACAACAACAAUAACUAUAACAGACACCUUACUUGAUAUUUACUUUUCUGUUAUACACUAUUGGACUCAGUUCGCCUUGUAGUUGGUUUUACAUUGCUUUAUGUGUUGCUCGAACAUGCCUCUACAUCACUAGGCUGUGUCGUCACUUGCUGCUGCUGCUAUUAUUGCUUCUUAGUUGGAUAACCAGUCUUGUUGUGCCAUUUCCUAUAACAAUGUGAGUAUCGAACCAUUCCACUAGCCUUACUUAUUGUAUUAGUGCUACUCUCAAUUUCCUACUUUUUUUUCCUUUUUAAGCCUAUCGACUUGCUUCUUCAGUGGUAGAGGCUCUAGGACCGAUGGUUUGUUUUGUCCAAAAACUUGCUACUCCUUAGAGGCUAUAGCAUGAAUUGGUAUGCUGCAAAAAUAGUUUUUUUUUUCUUGUCACAGUCUUCCACAUAAUCCUGUAAAUUGAGUUGCUUUAAUUGGAUGGCACAAAUUACAUGUGAACAAUGUAUUCCAUUCAACUGCCAUGCUUGAUAGAAAUAUUUUCUCUUGAAAUGAACAACAUAUUUGUCACCAUCAUUCAUGAUCUCAAAUCCAUUGUCUUCAUUCUAAAUUGAAUGACAGAACCUACUAGCAGCAACGUUAUCUUCCAAUUUUUUUACAAUCUUAAGCCAAUAUUGUCUAAGCCACUUCGAACAUUCACUUUCUAUUUUUAUAGUCUCGUUAUCACCAUAAAUUUAAUGUCUUUAAGCAUACUGACAAUUGAUUUGCACCUCACUUAUAUAAUCCCGCCAUUGAAAGUCUUGCAAAUGUUGUUGUCAAUAUUAUUGUACUUGAAUUUCUCACUAAAAAAAGCUAUACAACAAUGCUUUAUUUCAAUUUGGAAUAAUGUUUCACAAGCUUUAGUUAACAAUGCAUGUAAAGCUUAUUUGUGAAUUUUGAAAUCUGCUAUAUUUGAACUCUUUGCAAUCAACUAAAACUAUUUAUGCUGUUGGUCACCUUUAUACUUCUUCGCCUCAUUUGCAUAUAUGUGUUGAGCACACAUUCUAUACUCGACAUAUUGCAUUAGCUUGGCUAUAGCUAAAACAAUUCCCUGUAAAAUCAUCCAACAUUUGUAAAUUACAUUAAUAAUAUGCCGAACCUUUUCCAUCAGUUAUUCUAAGUUUUGGAGAAAACUUUCGUAUUUGUUUUGAAGCUGGCAAAACAUUUCCAUCAGUCUAGUCUGAAGACUUGUAGACUCUUUCGUCAAAGUCUGAAGACCGCCGAACCUCCAGACUCAAGAUUCAAAGUCUACCCUCAUUGAUAGUUUCUAGACCGUCGAAGAAGACUUAUCCAGAAUUGAGUAUUUCGUUAAGGAUUUGAUUCUAUCGACUGAAGAAGAUCUCUCGGCUGGAUAUAGCAUCUUGGAAUCUAUUAUUCAUUUUGAUUCGGGUAAUUUAGAUCCGUUAAUUGACGAAUCAUACGUGGAAGGUUCUACUUAUGGAAACUUGGAUCCUGAUUGUAUGGACAAGCAGGAUUGAUGGGCUAUCGUCAUAUUCCUUAAAUAAUUCGAGAUCUCCCUAAUUGAUUCUGUCUAACAGGUAGAUUUGAAGAACUCAUUUGGAAAAUGUCAACGGUUAUGAAGGCAUGAAGGAGUAUAUAAGGAAGAUGUUCUAGUUAUUCAAGUGUGUGCACGGUAGAAGAAUUCCAAAGUUUGAAGCUCCUUGUUCUUUGUCAAUUCAAUUGUUGAGCAUAAACUUGUACUCAAAAGAGAGUUUAUACACUUGUGAGAUCUUGAGGAAGUGUAGCGAAGUCUCUACACUGUGGAAUUAAGGACGUGAUACUGUAACGACUCUUUUGAUUCAUAGUGAAAUUCAGCUGGUGGGUUGUCAGUGCGGGAGAAUGGACGUAGGCUUGGAUUAAGUCGAACCACUAUAAACCUUGUGUUCUUAUUCUCUUCCCUAAACUCUUUUACUUUAUUCGUAACUUUAUUUAACUGUUAGAAUCUCGCUUCUAUCUUAAAGUCAACUGUUAAACAGACUCAGGUUAAAUUCAGAGUUUUAUUCUGUCCUUCGCAAAAGUUUGUUUUCGCACCUAUUCACCCCCUUUAGGUGCUCAUACUAGUAUUCACAAUUGGUAUCAUAGCCUGUGUACUCAUUUAAAUUGAAGUGUUUUUACUUCAGAGCUAACGAUCCAUGGCUAGUAUGUUGGCUCCAGGCUUGGUUAAAGGGCAAAACAAAACCAGACUGCCAUACUGUGAUGGGAAGGAAUACAACAUAUGGAAAAAAUAAAAUGAAGGCGUUCCUGAGAUCGAAAGACCCUCUUGAAUGGGAUGUGGUAGAUAAAUGAAUUAUUCCUAAAGCUACAACAGUCUCAGAAAGGGGAAAGAAAGUUGUUGAGUCCAGCGAUAUGAUUUAAGAAGAGAUAACCAAGAAACAAGCUCUUGAUGCAAAAGUAAUUUAUUCUUUAUAUUGUGCAUUGUCUUCUACUGAAUAUAACAGAAUAUCUUCUUGUGAAACAGCUAAAGAAGUCUGGGAUAGAUUGCACAUCACCUAUGAAGGAAUUGAUCAAGUUAAAGAAACCAGAAUCAAUAUUUUGCUUGGUCAAUAUGAAGCAUUUAGGAUGAAACCAAGAGAAUCUAUCACUGACAUGUUUAGUCGUUUUACAGAAAUCGUGAAUGGUCUUGAGUAUCAAGGUCAACCAAUCUCUGGAUCCAUGAAGGUUAACAAGCUACUACGUGGACUUUCCAAAGAUUGGAAUCACGUAAAAACCUCAAUAAGAGAGACACAAAGAAUCAUGCUGCUCUUUGUUGACGAAUUAGUUAGCACUCUUCAGUCUUAUGAAGUGGAGCAAAUCAAUGAAGAUAAGGAUCCCAAAGGUAAAAAAUCUAUUGCAUUAAAAUCUAAUGAUGAUUUUGAUGUUACAGAUUCUGAAGACGAUAUGGACGAUGAAGAGCUUGCUCUCAUGAUAAGAAGGUUCAGAAAACUGAACAAGAAGGGAAGAAGAUUCAAUUCAAAGAAACAAAGUUCUCAAAAGUUUCAAAAUAAAUCGGUUGAGGAUGAUGAUUCUAACAAAGAUGUGGUUUGUUUUGAAUGUAAGAAAAAUGGACACAUCAGACCAAACUGUCCCUUACUAAAGAAAAAGAAAGGAAAAGCUGAGAAGUACAGAAAAGCUCUCAAGGUAGAAAUUUGGAGUGAUACUGAGUGUGAAGAGAGUAAUGAUGAUUAUGCUAAUAUUUGUCUAAUGACAUAAUCAGACUCAGACAGUGAAAUCGAGGUAAGUAAUUUAAAAAUUCAUACUAAAGUCUCUAAAUAUAUUGAUGAAUUGUGUCUUAGUCUCAAAACCUCUCUCAAGAGGAUUUUCGAACUAAAAAGAGAAAACUCAUUACUGAAGCAACAAGAGAUUGUUUGGAAAGAAAAAGUCGAAAAUUUGGAUAAAAAUGUUAUUGCUUUGAAAUAAAAUGCAGACUCACUUUCAAAAGAAAAUAUAUUUUUGAAAAAUGAUAUCUCAAGUAUUUCAAAAAGGUUUUCUAUAGGUUCUGAGAAAUUAGAAAAGAUUAUUUUGGCACAAAGACCUUACUUUAACAAAUCAGGUUUAGGAAUGACUACUGAAACCAUUCCUCUAAUUGAUUUUCCUAAAGUAAAGGAAAGAAUUAAACAAAGACCUACAAAAGAUUUUUAUAGAAAUCAUUUUCAAAAAAUCUUUGUAAAAUCUGUAGGUCGUAGUGCUAUCAAAUGUUCUAAGUGCAAUAGCUCAGAUCAUUUUGAGAAAGAAUGUCCUAUGGUUUGAAAAUCUGUUAAGAAGGUUUGGGCAAAGACCGUAUAUUACACUAACUCCAUUGGACCCAAGAAAAUAUGGGUACCAAAGAAAGCUUGAGUUUCUUUUCUAAAUGCAAGUCACUAUCAAGAAAAAAUGUUAAAUGGUACUUGAAUAGUGGAUGCUCAAGACAUAUGACAAGAGACUCAAAUUGUUUCAUAAAACUUGUGCAAGUUAAUGGUGGAAAAGUCUCUUUUAGAGGAAAUAGCAAAGAUAGAAUUGUGGGUUACGGAACCGUAAAGACUGGAAGUCUCAUAAUCAAUAACGUUUCCUUAGUGGAAUGACUCAACUACAACUUAUUGAGUAUCGGCCAAUUGUGCGACACAGGUUACAAAAUCAACUUUCAAGAAUGAGUAUGUUUAGGAACUAGUAAAGAUUCAUCUCAGACAUUCACGGGGAGAAGACAUGGAAAUAUAUAUCUCUUGGAUAUCAAUCUAGAAAAAUCCCAAUGUCUAAUUUCAAUUCAAGAGGAAACUAAUCUCUGACAUAGAAAACUUGGGCACAUCAACAUGAAGCAAAUAGCUAAGAUCUCUGUAAAGAAGCUUGUUCGUUGAUUACCCAACCUGACAUAUCAAAAAUCUGAAUUAUGCACACCGUGUGUAUUGGGAAAAUAGGUUAGAAACUCUUUCAAACCAAUAAAUCAAGUUUCCAUUAAUCGUGUGUUACAGUUCUUACUUAUGGAUCUUUUUGGACCAACCAGAACUCAGAGCAUUGGAGGUAAGAAAUAUUGCUUAGUGAUAGUGGCUGAUUAUUCAUGAUUCACUUGGGUAUAUUUCCUGGCAAGUAAGUCUGAAACAUUUUCUUAUUUUAUCAAAUUUGUUAAGAAAGUACAAAAUGAGAAAGGGUAUGUUAUUUCAAGUAUAUGGACAGACCAUGGAGGUGAGUUUGAAAAUCAAGACUUUGCUAAAUUUUGUGAUGAAUAUGGUUUUUAGCAUGUAUUCUCCUCACCAUACACUCUAGAACAAAAUGGAGUUGUGGAAAGGAAGAAUAGAUCAUUGCAAGAAAUGUCUAGAACUUUAUUAAUUGAAAGUAACAUUUCCUCUCGUUUUUGGGUUGAAGCAAUUUUUACAGCGUGCUAUAGUAUUAAUAGUCUUCUUAAAGCCUAUUAUGGAGAAAACUUCCUAUGAGUUGUUCAAAGGAAAGAAGCCAAUUGUCUCCUAUUUUCAUGUGUUUGGAUGCAAAUGUUUUAUAUUGAAAAAUGCAAAUGAUCAAAUUGGUAAGUUUGAAGAAAAAUCAGACGAAGGAAUCUUCCUUGGAUAUUUAACCACCAGCAAAGCUUAUAGAGUAUACAACAAAAAGACUCAAUCUGUGAAAAAUCAAUGAAUGUCAAAUUCCAAGACUUUAUGCAAAAUUAAUCGAUUCAGACUCAACUUGAAGAUUCUAAACCUGCUCCAGACUCUACAAAGUCUAAAUCUUUAGAAGCAGCUCAGACUUUAGAAGACCAACAACGAAUGAUCGUUGAAGAAUCAAAUGAAGAAAAAGACCAACAGUCUGACAAAUCAACCGGCAAUUGGAAGCACAAGUCUAGUCAUCCCAAAGAACUCAUUAUUGGUGACAUUAAUGAGGGAAUUCGUACAAGAUCCAAAAGGCGUGAAGAGUCUAGUGUUGUGGCUCUUAUUUCUGAAAUAGAACUCAAGAGCAUAGAAGAAGUUUUAACUGAUGAAAGCUGGAUUGAAGCUAUGCAAGAAAAACUCAGGCAAUUCAGUAUCAAUGAUGUCUGGGAAUUGACUCCUAAACUGAAAGGUAAAUCUAUCAUUGGAGCUAAAUGGGUUUUUAGGAACAAGAUGAACGAGAAAGGAAAAGUUGUAAGGAACAAAGCAAGAUUCGUGGCCAAAGAAUAUACGCAAGAAGAAGGGAUAGACUAUGAUGAGACUUACGCACCAGUAGCAAUGUUAGAAACAAUUAGAUUAUUACUUGCUUUUGCAUAUUAUAAGAAUUUCAGGUUAUUCCAAAUGGACGUCAAAAGUACUUUCUUAAAUGGAUUUAUCUAAGAAGAAGUCUAUGUGGAACAACCUCCCGAUUUUGAAGAUCCAAGGAAACCAGACUCUGUAUUCAGACUAAAAAAGACGCUAUAUGGUUUAAAGCAAGCACCUCAAGCUUGGUACGACAGGUUAAGUAAGUUUUUAAUUCAAAAUUACUUUGUUAAAGGUAAACUAGAUACUACAUUAUUUAUCAAAAGAGAAAGCAAAAACUUUUUACUUGUUCAAAUUUAUGUUGAUGAUAUUAUUUUUGGAUCUUCUAACGAAAAUCUGUGCAAGAAAUUCUCUAAAACUAUGCAGGAUGAGUUUGAAAUGAGCAUGAUGGGUGAACUAUCCUUCUUUCUUGGACUUCAAGUAAAAUAAUUGAAGAAAGGAACUUUCAUCCACCAAGAAAAAUAUGCUAAAGAACUUGUUAAAAAGUUUGGAUUGGAGAAUUGCAAAAAGACUAAUAUACCAAUGUCAAGUUCCUUGAAGCUAGAUAAAGAUGAAGGAGGAAAGAAAGUUGACCAGAAGCUAUAUAUGAGUAUCAUUGGUUCACUUAUUUAUCUUACUACUUCAAGACCUGACAUUUUGUUUAGUGUUUGUAUUUGUGCCAGAUUUCAAUCAGAUCCCAACGAAUCUCAUUUAAGUGCUGCAAAACGCAUCAUUAAAUAUGUUGCAUCAACUUCUAAUUUGGGUCUCUGGUAUCAUAAAGAAUGAGACUUUACUCUCAUAGGAUAUUCAGAUGUAGACCUAGCAGGAUGCGGAGUUGAUAGAAAGAGCACCUUAGGCACUUGUCAAUUACUUGGGAACAUGACAGUAUCUUGGUUUUCAAGGAAGUAAAGUACUGUAGCUCUUUCAACAGCAGAAGUAGAAUAUGUGGCUCUUGGAAGUUGUUCACAAAUUUUGUGGAUAAAGCAACAGCUAAGAGAGUUUGGAAUCGAAGACUUAUGCACCGAGAUAAAAUGCAACAACACCAGCGCGAUUAAUCUCACAAAGAAUCCAAUUCUUCAUUCGAGAGCAAAGCACAUAGAAAUUCGAUAUCAUCUUAUUAGAGAUUAUGUUCAAAAUGGAGAAGUCUCGAUUCAAUUCAUUGACUCAAAGAAUCAACUAGCAGACAUAUUUACAAAGCCUUUGGAGAAAAGUCAAUUCGAGCUUAUUCGUUUCAAACUCAAUAUCUUAAAGUCUGAAGAAGUUCAGACUCGAGGAUAAAAGUCUAAAGAUACUCAGACUUAGAUGAUCAAGAUUCAUGACUGUAAGUUAUUUCUAUUUUAGAAUUUUAUCUAUUGGAUAAAAUCUCGAAAAGGUACGAUCAUCUAUUAAUCUGUAAUUGAUUGAUGUUAUCUUCUCCAGUUUUCAUGAUUAUUGCAAUCAUUCCUUUUUCGAAAAAGAAGUUAUUUUUGAAAUGACGGUUAUUUAUUUUUUCAAAAAGGCAGUUAUUUUUUGAAAAUGCAUUUUUAUUUUUCCUUUUACGUCGUUCCUUAUACCUCUUUUCGACUGCUUUAUAUACUGAUCGUCUUCCUCACAAACCCUAAAAGCACAGACCAUCACUUUCUUAUUUUUACUCUCUAGUUUAAUCUUCAAAGUUCUAACAUUUUUCGUGAAUCGAGUUUGGAAUCUCUCAAAGACUAUGCGAAUGACUUCACAAAGAAAGUCUUCAAGGAUCGCGAACAGGGGACCAUAACUCAUGUGUGAGGGUCCUACGCAUUUUGACCUCACCGAGGAAGAAGAAUCUCCCAGACAGCAGCAGAGCCCACAACAUUCUCAAUCGCGUCAAUCUCCUCAAGCUAGACCUCAUAGUGUUGAUCAAAGAGCGGAGGAAGAAAUUAUUGAAGAGGCUGAACCCGUAAGAACUCAAAAGCCUGUUUUUAUCUUUAAACUUUACUCUGCUUUGAAGAAUGGAGGCACUCCCUUGAACUAUAUUGAUGCAUUUUUGAAAGAGAAAGGGUAUCAAAAUGAAACCCAUUUUUUUGCGAACAAUGGAACGAUUGGGGAUUGCUCAUGUAGGGUCGGCAGAACGAGCAUUUGCGAAUAUUCCCAGUGAUCCACAUGUUGGGGGUCUUAGUCAGCCUGAUGGGAAUGAUGAUGACAAAAUGUACACUCAUUUUAAGCCUAGAAUGGGUGUUGGGGCGAAUAUUUGAAGCAAAAGGACAAACUUGUUUCGCUCGGAGGAACACAAGCGAUUUUACUCUAAGUUGCUAAAAAGAGGGGUGAUCAAUCCGAGAAGUAUAGACUUUGAUUUUCUUGAUUCUUUGAAUGUGAAGCUACAAGAGAAAUUCACUCAACUUCAGCUUGAGCAAUUUUGUUCUAAGACAACAGAGGCAUGUCCAGAGCUUACUACUUAUUUCUAUUCUAAUAUAAGUUUUUUGGAUGCGAAUAGAUUUUCUUUUAGUGUUCAAGAUUAGGACUAUAUUGUUGACAUGGACACAUUGGCGGAUGUGAUUGGAGUAGAGCGAGGGGCAUUCCAAUCGAUUAGUGUGUCUGUUGGCUGUGCGACAGUAUAGCUUGUUCGUGAUAGAAUGGCAGGAGGAAGAAUUUCGUACUUGAGGAUAAAUGCCUCAAACAUUUUGCUUCACAAGAUUGUGAUCAAUUGUCUCAGACCCAAAUCGACUUCGAAAACCGAUGUCUCCAACUCAAAAGCAAAGUUGAUGUAUGCUAUCAAUGGUGGGAAAAAGUUCUCUCUGUCUCACACAGUCAUGUUUCACAUGUACAGAACGAUGGUGAAAGAUAAGGGACAACUUCCUUACUCAACGCUUAUCAUAAAGUUGUUCAAACACUUGAAUAUUCAGCCUCUUAGGAUUCUGUGUGUUCAAUCCUGUGAUCAAAUGGUGGUGGGACUGAAAAUGGUUUCUAAAAUGCGUCUGAAAGAGCUAGACAAGGCUUUGGAGUGAUUGAAGGAGAAAACCCUUGUCAAGACUCACCAAGGUUCUUCAACUGCAAAACGGAAAGGGAAUGAGCCCAUGACAGCUCAAUCUAAGAAAAGAAGAGCACUCGUCCUGGAGGAUGAAAAGGACGAGGACGAUAUUACCAUUUCCGCUCUUGCACUGAGAAAUCUACAAAGUGCUGUUCUAGAGACUGAGGAGAGAGAGGAUCAAGAUGAAGAAAAGGAAAGGAGUGGAGAGAGAGAAACAAUGCGAAAAGCAGCAGAGGAAGAAAGGAUUGCAGAAGAAGAAGGUAGAAGUGAACAGGAGGAACUAGAGCAUGAAGCGUACUUCUCACCUCCUGAAGGCAUUGAAACAUGGGGAGUUGCUAAGAAAAGAGGUACAUCUUCAAUUGCUUUUACUAGUGAAGAUGUUAGUCAUUCACCUGCAGAUCCAGAAGAAAUCUAUGCAUAUCAAUUUCUAGAGGAAGGUCAUGAGGUUUCAUCGCCAAAUCUGAGUGACCAUGCUGGCUUGCCAUUAUUUGCAAAUACUCCUACUGAUCAUGCAGAAGCUAGCACUUAGACUGAUAAUUCACCAGACUUUCGAAGACUGCUUGAUAUUCUUAUGGAGAUGCGAGGACAGAUCUAUACUCUGGGAUGCAAAGUUCAGAACUUGUAGAAUGCAAGUCAAGCCUCUUCAGUUUCCUUACAUGAUCAAAUCCAUGUCCUUGCUCUUCAAGUUCAAGCAAAUGCCAAGGGUGAAGAAGUUGCUCAAUUGAAGGAGGAUUUGAAAAAGCUAGAAGGGAUCGUCCAGUCGAUGGGAGAUUUCUAGCUCAUUCGCGUUCCCAAGCAAUCUUGAUUUCAUUAUCUUUUCGUGUCUACCUUUUUCAUGUUGACAAAAAGGGGGAGAUGUUGCAGAUUUGAGAUUUAACUCUUGUUUGACUUGAUGUUUGAUUGACUUUUACUUUUGUUUGGUUGUUUGGUUGUGACUGGAUUUGGAUUUGGAUUGUUUGAUCGUUUGAAUAUUUGCUGCAGUAUCUUAAGCACUGUUGGUAUUUCAUGGCAAAGAUAGUUGUUUGUUUACAGGACUAACUUUCUUAUUUCCUGUGGAUGCAGAUCUAAUGUUAUCUUUACUAAGUCAAUUAUCUUUUGUGAAAUAUCCAUGUUUGCUUGAGUAUUGUCUUGUAGGUCAAAAGUAUCCAAAUCUAUAGGAAAGUUUUGUCACAAUAAAAAAUGGGGAGAUUGUUGGAGAAAACUUAUGUAUUUGUUUUGAAGCUCACAAAACAUUUCCAUUAGUCUAGUCUGAAGACUUGCAGACUCUUUCGUCAAAGUCUGAAGACCGCCGAACCUCCAGACUCAAGAUUCAAAGUCUACCCUCAUUGACCGUUUCUAAACCGUCAAAGAAAACUUAUCCAGAAUUUAGUAUUUCAUUAAGGAUUUGAUUAUAUCGACUGAAGAAGAUCUCUCGGCUGGAUAUAACAUCUUGGAAUCUAUUAUUCGUUUUGAUUGGGGUAAUUUAGAUCCGUUGAUUGGCGAAGCAUACUUGGAAGGUUCUACUUAUGAAAACUUAGAUCCUGAUUGUAUGUGCGAGCAAGAUUGAUGGGUUAUCAUAACUCGAGAUCUCCCUAAUUGAUUCUAUCCAACGGGUAGAUUGGAAGAACUCAUUUGGAAAGUGCCAACGGUUAUGAAGGCACGAAGGAGUAUAUAAGGAAGAUGUUCCAAUUAUUCAAAUGUGUGCGCGAUAGAAGAAUUCCAAAGUCUGAAACUCCUUGUUCUUUGUCAAUUCAAUUGUUGAACAUAAACUCAAGAGAGUUUAUACACUUGUGAGAUCUUGAGGAAGUGUAGCGGAGUCUCUACACUGUGGAAUCAAGGACGUGAUACUGUAACGACUCUUUUGAUUCAUAGUGAAAUCCAGUCGGUGGGCAAUUGUUGAACAUAAACUCUUAUACACUUGUGAGAUCUUGAGGAAGUGUAGCGGAGUCUCUACAUUGUGGAAUCAAGGACGUGAUACUAUAACGACUCUUUUGAUUCAUAGUGAAAUCCAGCCGGUGGGCUGUCAGUGCGGGAGAGUGGACGUAGGCUUGGAUUAAGUUGAACCACUAUAAACCUUGUGUUCUUAUUCUCUUUCCUAAACUCUGUUACUUUAUUCGUAACUUUAUUUAACUGUUAGAAUCUCGCUUCUAUCUUAAAGUUUACUAUUAAACAGACUUAGGUUAAAUUCAGAGUUUUAUUCUGUCCUUCACAAAAGUUUGUUUUCGCACCUAUUCACCCCCUCUAGGUGCUCAUACUAGCAUUCACACUAAGAUCAGUCAUCAGAUUUUUCAAAAAUCAAAACCAAUUGUCCUUGUUUUUUUUUUUUUUUUUUUUUUAAUUUUUACCAUAGUCCAAGUUAUUGAAAAUAUUUGGUUGUUUCCAUCCCUCCCGAUGGUAGGCAAAAACUCUCCCUUACAUAACCCUUUCAAAAAAUACCCAUCUAAUCCGAUCACUUUUCUACAUCCAACUAAAAAUCAUUUUCUACAAGCAUCAAAGUAUAUGUACAUCCUAUCAAACUGUGUCCUAUGAUUAGAUAAGGGUUUCUCCACAACUUUUACAUGAAUUCUGUCAGGUGAAUUUUACAACUUACAUUCCAUAACAUAGUCUGAAAUCUUUGCAUAUUUUCCUUAUAAAUUCCCAUCAACGUAUUCAUCACCUCGUAGUAAGUCCAUUUGCACUAAUUGUGAAAAACAUGUACACCUACCUACUCUUUCAUUAGUUAUUUCAAUUGAGAAAUUUUGAUAUUUGACAUUGCUUUGAUGAUAUUGAAAAGUACUUAGCCAACAAACAUUAGUCACUUUUUUAUUCUCAAACACAAUACCACAUGUAUACUUCUCUUGUAGUGAUCGAAUAUGGAAUGAGUCAUUCUUCUUACUCAAUGCCACUAUAUAUUGUUCAUGGACGAUUGUCUUGUGCACACUCUGCUUUAACAAAAUUAUUGGUAUUUCUAAUAAAUUUAGGAUUUCGUCAUUGAGAGAUUGAGUACCUGACAAUAGUAUCUCUAAAUUGCUUAACAUCAUCAAAUGGCAUUGAUACACAAAAAGACAGGAUUUAUACUAGUUUAAUCAUAAGAAGGAUAUGACUUCCCAUUUUAUGUUGCGUUGCACCAUCUUCAUCAUCAUCCUCAUGGUUGUCGCCGUUAUUACGACAACUUUCCCCAUAAAUAAAAUCAUCACCAUCAGCUAUAAGAGCUCUUGCAUCUCUAUUUACUGCACCACCUUCAUUCAUUGGCCCACAUUGUGCUUUUCUUCUUUUUUCGAAUGCCCUGACCUCUUCUCUUACUUGUGUGAUGUCCUCAUCGUUAACAUCACUUGUACAAAUGGUAUGCACAAAUGUUUCAUCAUUUUCAUUGCUGGGCAAUGCAAUAUCCCAAGCGUCUAGGGUUAUUUUAGUCGAUUCUUCAACAAAUGUAUCCUCACCAUUAGAUAUGCAUUCGGUAUCCUUAAGAGGCUGAAAUAUCUCUAACACAAAUCAUGUAUACAAAUCUACGGCGUCCUCUACUCUCACAUAUCCUUCCAAAAUAGCUCCAACACUAACUUAAGUUUCAAUAGUAGUUUUCAACACUAUUUGCCCAUAUUCUUCAUCGUAAUUAGACACCCGGACCCCUGGAGUGCCAAAAGUUGGCACAAAGGGACACUUAAGUGCUGAAAGUUACUAAAGUGACAUUUAAGUGCCAAAAUUGGAGCAAAAUGGAUCACUUAAGUGCCAAAAUCGGAGCAAAAUGGAUCACUUAAGUGCCACCGGCGAGAAAAUCCAACCAAAACGCUAACGUGGCAAUUUUCAAACGGGCUAUACGCAAAAUGACGUCAUUUUUGUAUGCUUAUGUGGUUAAACAGUGUCAAAACGACGUCGUUUGGUAUAAUUCGAAUUUUAAUAUAAUAAUGAAUCAAAUUUUUAAAAAUGAAUUAAUUUAAAAAAAAUGAGGGGGGAAGGAGGAGGAGGGAGGUAGCCGAUGGGCUGAGGGCUCAGCCCUCAUGAUUGUCGCCACUGCCUCCCUUCUUCACUGGGGAAGUGGGGAGGGUUGGCUAGNNNNNNNNNNNNNNNNNNNNNNNNNNNNNNNNNNNNNNNNNNNNNNNNNNNNNNNNNNNNNNNNNNNNNNNNNNNNNNNNNNNNNNNNNNNNNNNNNNNNGUUUUAAAUUUAAUUUAAUUAAUUUUAUUUAUAUAAAAUCAAAUAUGCCAAAACGACGUCGUUUUGUGUGUGUUUGCUGAUUUGGCAUUCCGGUGAGCCACAUAAGCGAGAAAAUUAAUAAAAAAAAAUGCCACGUAGGAUUUCCAGCAAGGCUCGCAAGAUGUGGCACUCAAGGGCGCGCUUGGUAACGUUUUAUUCAAAAAUUGUUCCAGAGAACAAAAAUAGAAAAAGCUAUUUCUGCUCCAGGAAUAAUUUUUUAAUAGAAUAAGGCGUUUGGUAAACUUGUUUUAGGAAUACAAAAUGAACAGAAACAUGUUUGGUAAAUUUGUGUUCUUUUUUUUGUUUCUUUUAAUUUUUUUAAUAUUUUUAAUAUUUUUUUCUUUUUUUCUUCUUUUGGUUGGUUGCCGGCCUUGGCCAUGGCCGGCGACUGGCCAAUGAGAGUCGGCGGGCUCACCCAGAUCUGGCGAGCCCGAGCUUGCCUAGCCUUGCCCCGCGCCGGUGAGGCUCGGCCUCGUCGGGCCAUCGCCAAGUCGGCGAGCCUCGCCGGUGGCUGGGCGAGCUUGGGCUCGCUAGAUUUGGGUGAGCCCAAGCUCGUCCAGCCAAGGCGAGGCUUCCGAGAAAUAAAUUUUCUUAUUUUUUGGAACACUUCUGAGAAAUAAAUUUUAUCUCUCCUAUUUUUUUCCUCUUUCUUUUCUUCUUCUUUUUUCUUUGGCUAGUCGCUGGCCUUGGCCAUGGCCGGUGACUAGCCGUUGAGGGCCGGCGACCUCACUGGAGUGUUGCCGGUCCCUGUCGAGGCUUGACCUCGCCUUGGCUGGGCGAGCUUGAGCUCGCCCAGAUCCAACGAGGCCGAGCCUCGCCGAGCCACCACUAGGUCCUCGAGGCCGCUGGCCCUCAUCGGCCAGUCGCCGGCCAUGGCUGAGGCCAGUGACCGGCCAAAAGGAAGGAAAAAGAAAAAAGAAAAAAAGGGAAAAAAAAAGAAAAUAGGAAAAAUAAAAUAAAAAUAUUAUAAAAUUAAAAGAAACAAAAAAAUCACACAAAUUUACCAAACGCAUUUAUGUUCUUUUUCUAUUACAGGAACAAGUUUACCAAACACAUUCUUUUGUUCAAAAAUUGUUCCCCGGAACAGAAAUAGUUUAUUUAUUUAUUUAUUUAUUUUUGUUCCCUAGAAUAAUUUUUGAAUAGAAACGUUACCAAACGCACCUUAAGUGUCACUUUCGUAAGUUUUGCCACUUAAAUGUCUAUUUGUGCCAACUUUUGGCACUUGAGAUGUACUUUUGCCAUCGUAAUUAUGUUCAACAUAUACAUAAACAUCAUGACCAUGUAGAAAAUGGUAAACAAGAUCUUUCACCCCAUUAUUGUCGUGCAAAUAUUUUAAAUUAUCUUUAAGAGAUUUAAUAGGUACCUGCUAAUAUAAUUUCGCCAUUUUACAUCUCAAUUGGUCUACUAUAUCCCUUCUAAAAUUGGUAAAUGAUAGUUUACUUAACUGACAAGGACAAUGAUGACUUGCCCACCAAUGUAUUCCUCCUCUUCCCUUGUAAUUCUAAACUCUACUAUAGCAAAUUUUAAUGGGUGCACUUGUAUCGCCCAUGUUAACACUAUACCCAAUACAAUAAAAUUUAUUUCUACAUUAGGGGUCCAUAUCACAAAUAGACAAUAAUAGCAAUCGGUCCCCACAACUCAAGCAAAUGACAAUAUUAAAUCAGACCCCACAACAACAAUAAACAUUCAGUCCUCACAAAUUAAGCAAAUAACAAUAUUAAAUCGGUUCUCACAAUCACAAUAAAAUAUUUUCACUGUCGGCUGGUGAACACCAAUCGACAAAAUCUAAGCAUGAAUGAACUAAAGUAUUCACAUUUACACUGCCCAAACCCCUAAUAAUUUCCCUCCAAUAUGUCGCAUUUUCCCACACUUUGACUCUAUCAAACAACACUAAAUUCGCUCACAUUGUUGGUUAGUCAACACAAAAAAACAAAAAUCACUAACCUUUACUCUUUGUCAACAAUGAUUCCCCACGUCACAACCCCUAACUUUUCCCUCCAAGUUAUUGCCCUUUCAGUCUCUAUCCAGCGAGUAUGGAUGACAUACAACAGUAAACUUGAAGCCCUAAUUUGAGAUUUCAUAUAUAUUUUAAGGGGUUUUGGGCAUACUAAGAUUCAGUGUGGGGUCGAUGAAUCAAUGUCAGGUCGAUGAAGUGGGGCAUCGAUGAAGAUUCGGUUUUGGAUUGAAACCCUAAUUUUGCGAAUAGGGUUUGAAAUAAAAGAGAAAGAGGUCUUCAACCUCGUAUGAGAUGAGAAGAGAAAUGAUGUCAUUUUUGGUUGUUGCACGAAGAGAAAUGACGUCCUUUCUUGAGAGAGAGAGAGAGAGAGAGAGAGAGAGAGAGAGAGAGAGAGAUUGUAUGAAAUGAUGUUGUUUUAGGCAAAAGAAAUGGUGUUGCUUCUAUUAAAGAGGAACUCCGCUUGUUUUUCUAAAUACCCAUCUCGGAAUCGAAAAUUUCAGCUUAUUUUUCUAAAUAUCCAUGUCAUAAUUGGAAAUAAAAAAAUGGAAAAUCAUAAAAUAAAAAAAUAAAAAAUCUAUGUAGGAUGUUUGGCUAGAAAUGACACUAAAGUGAGUGAUUUUACUUCAAUUUGGCACUUAAGUGAGCGAAAAAAAGUUUUGACAUUUAAGUGAAGCCAUACGAAAGUAUUGACACUUAUACUAUAUUUACCCCCUUAUAACACACAUAACAAUAAAUGAUCAAUUAAUGAACUCAUAACCAUGUGUGCUCAAGAAGAAGAGAUGUUGCUUAUGGAAUUGGAAGAGAGUGUUCAUUUGAUAACGCAAGGAAAGAAUAAAGCGCGGGGCAAGACAACUAGAAAAGAAAUGGUAAAACACCCCCUCUCCGAGUUAACAUAAAGAAGGAAUCCAAAUGCUUUUUCUAUAAAAAGAGGGGGCAUACAAAGAAGGGUUGUGCCAAAUUCAAGGCCUGAUUCGAAAGAAAAAAGGUAAUUCAAUCUUAUGUGUUUUUAUGAAUCUAAUAUGAUUAAUAUAAGUUAUAAAACUUGGUGGAUUGAUUUUGGACCUAUAAUCCAUAUUUCAAAUUCCUUGAAAGGUUCUCAUAGAAUUUAGUUGGAAGUAAGUAGUGCAUCCAAGAAAAAAAGAUGGGUUCGCAUAUGGGAACUAUUUGGGACAUGCAUAUUAGUUCUAAGCCGUAGUUUUGUUUUCAAUUUAGAAAUUACAUUUUAUAUUCCAAGUUUCUCUAGAAAUUUCAUUUCAUUUUCAAAAUUUAUACCAUUAGGUCAUUUUUUUAACUUCUUAGAUGCAACCUUUAAUUAAUCUUUUAAAUAUGAUAUACCUAGGAAUUGUAUUUUGUUUAAUGGUCUUUUUUGUAUUAAUUUACAAGAUAAUGCCAAUGCCAUGUAUGUUUAUGAUAAUGUUGGUAUAAAACGAUAUAUUGUGAAUGAAGAUUUAUCUAUAUCGUGUCAUCAAAGAUUACGACAUACCUCCAUAGAAAGAAUUAAAUGAUUAGUAAUUAAUGGAGUACUUAGAACUUUUGAAUUUUACUAAGUAUGACACUUAUGUGGACUGUAUGAAAGGAAAACAAACCAACAAGAUAAAUAACUGUGCUAAAAAGAGUACGGAAAUAUUAGAAACAUAUAUACAAACAUUUCUAGUCCGGAUUUGGAUUCGUAUGGUUAGAAGUACUUCAUCUCUUUCAUAAAUAAUUACUCACAUUUUGCAUAUCUCUACUUGCUUUAUAAUAAGCAUGAAACAUUAGAUACAUUUAAGGCAUUUAAAACCAAAGUAGAGAAACAAAGUGAGAAGAUCCAAUAGAGGUGGGGAAUAUUAUGAUAGAUACAUUGAAGAUGGACUAGCACAUCGAUAUCAAGUAUUUAGCCAUAUAAAAACUGUCACUUUCACUGAAUUGAUGAUUGCUGGUCCUUUAACUAAAGACACAUCAUCAAUGAGUUAUAAGAAUCAUGUAGUUAGGAUGGGGCUUGGCAUAUCAUGUGAUUUUUCAUUGUAUGGAAAUUUUUUUUAUGAAACUCUUAUUCAUUUGUAAUGUUUUUCUCAAUUUGGGGGGGAGUGGACAUCGCAAAUGCCACAACUUGGCACAAAGGAACACUUAAGUUCUAAAAGUUAAAAAAAAGUACACUUAAGUGCCAAAAUCAAAUAAAAAUAGAACACUUAAAUGCCAAUGGUGAGAAAUUCCAGCCAAAUAGCUGAUGAGGCAUUUUUCGACAGCAUUUUUUUACAAAUCUAGCAAUUCUUUUUUUAAAAAAAUUGUCAACGUCACUAAAAAGCCAUCUUAUAAAAUUUUAAUAUAAAUAUUAAUUAAAAUCAAAUUAAAAAACUGAAUUUAAGAAAAGGGUUCAACAAGGGCCUCCAUAGCCCUCGCUGCCGCCGUCCCACCAUCGUUGGAAAAGGCCAGUGAUGGUCGAGUGAGGGUUGACCAAGGUUGCUGGCCAUUGGGUAGUAGCCAGCAACCCCAAUGGCCAGCAACCCUAGCCAACCCUCUUCUAGAUUUGGUGAAGCUAGCGGCCAGUGGCCCUUGGCCCUUCUAGGAGAGGACUGGCAACCGUCACUAAAUUUGGGAUGGGCCACGACCCUCACCCUAGAUUUGGCCGAAGGCCUACAAGCCCUUAUCGGCCACUACCUAAGGGCCAUUGACCCUAGUUGACCCUUGCCCCACUAUGGUCGGCCCUAUUAACAAUGGUGGGGCGGCGGUAGCAAGGGCUGUGGAGCCCCUCGUCAAACCUACCACCAUUCACCUCCUUUUUUAAUAAUUUAGUUUUUUAAAUUUACUUUUAAUUAAUAGUAAAUUAACAAAUUUAUGGGCAAAAUGACGUCAUUUUGCACGUUCAUUGCUGAGUAAGCAUUUCGAUAAAUCGUGUAAACCACUUAUAUUAUUAAAAAAAAGCCACGUCAAAUUUCCAAUUAUCCUCGUUGGCGUUGGCACCUAAGUGUCCCAAUUUCCAAAAAAAGUAACACUUAAGUAUACAUUUUGGAAGUUUUGGCAUUUAAUGGUCUACUCGUGCUAAGUUUUGGCACUUGCGGUGUACUUUCCCUCUCAAUUCGGUGUACAUGCAUUUAUUUAUGAGAAUAACAAUUAUUUUGGGACUUGACAUAAUAUUAUAAGUUGACAUUAAAGAUAUAGAAUGCAUUAUAAUACAUGGAAGAUACUAUUCGUUCUUAGAGGACAUAUCAUCUUGAUUCAUGUACUUCGUUUCUUUUCUUUCAAGCAUAAAGUUUUUGUAGAUUUAGUCUGACAAUUCGUAUGAUGAAGAUGUUGAAUCAAGUGGGAGAAUGUUAUUAUUUUGAUAUCAUGAUCCCACGUUUUCUUGACCCAUUUUUUUUGUAAUCACUUUAGUUAUUCCACGUUCUUCACCUUUUCAUAUACUUGUGUGAUAAUUGUCACCUCUUCUAUUAAUAUGAUUAAUUACAAUUAACGUAAUUAAUUAUGUGAUAGUGAUAACUCUCACUCUUUCCUAUACAUGUGAUUCAUUAUAAUUAAUGUAAUUAAUUAUGUGAUAAUUAUCACCUCUUCAUAUCUUAUACUCUUGAUGUGCUAAAGCUUUUACCUUUCAUCGCAUUGAACCGAACAGUGCGAUAGAAUCAAAGUGGCAUGCCGAGAGCAAUAUUCGAUAACUCGAAUACAAUAUAUGGUUUGCGCGACUUGAAUCAAUUCAGAAAUCUCCCGGCAGGUAGAAGCUGUUGAUUCUAAAACUUAAGGACCAUCUUGCCGACCAAAGCUCGGGUCCAAGAAUUAAUAGGCAAUGCAAAAAUCCGGGUUAAAGCCUUGGGGGUUUAGGACCGGGAUCGGUCCUCCUGUCGAUGAUCAGAACGGAAGAGAGGAGUGCAAAGUAAAAGCAAAUGUGUAUCAUAUCACUGUCUAUUGCGGUUGGAAGCUUUUAUGCCUUUUUCAGUGGCGGAGAUGAGGAUGAUGUAUGAAAACACGUAAUGCUACUUAAACUCUUCACUUUCUUACAAGAUAAUGAGGUUGUUUUCAUUCAGUAGAUCGCAUCCGUUUUUGACCGCAGUUUAUCUUCCCGUCCCCGGCUGCCGGAAUAGCCAAGGCGCCCCCACGAAGGAUAUCUUUCAGUUUCUCGAGCAGCAGCUCCGCCUUAGCCAGCUCCAGUAACUCCUCUUGAUGAUAAUUGCUUCCGUCGCCGAAAAGGCCAACCACUUCCAUGCCGUUCGCCUCCAGCUGUGCUGCCAACUCCCUCUGCCGAUCUAUCGUUGGAUCUCGGCCGCCACCCACCACCACCACCCGCCACCCCAUCGUUCUCAUCCUCUCCCACUCCCCCAGCCUCUCCCCAGCCAUCGGGUUGCAAUACUGGUGGUCCCGGCCGGCGCCGGCCGGCAGCACCAGCUCCCAGCAUAGGUCCGCCACGUUCAUCGGCAGGGUUGGGUUGUUGAACAGCCUAACUUCUGACUCGGUCCUCUGGAGUCCGCCGAAGAAGGGGUGGUGCAAGAUCAGGGCUCUGAUCACCAAAGGCUCUAGAUCGGCCACGGUGGCACACGCAUGGAGGCCCACGUGGUACGCGAUGUUCCCCCCCGCGCUCGUGCCCAUCAGGUAGCACCGCGAGAAGUCAACGCCCUCGCGAAGCCACUCCUCCUCGGUGGUCCUGACCCAGCGGAGGGCCUCCAUGGCGUCAUCAUAGGCCGCAGGGAGGCGGUGCUCCGGCGCGAGGCGGUAACUGGGGGAGACGACGAUGGCGCGAAGCUUGGUCGCCAUGAGGGAGCAGAAAUCGUGGUAUAUCUCGUGGGCCGGGGAGGAGUAUACGAAACCGCCGCCGUGGUAAUAUACGAUGAGGGGCAGUCUCUGGUCAGGCGGGGGUGACAGGCUAGGCACGUAGAUCCGGGCCCAGGUGUUGUGGGCCAGGUCGACCGGGACGUCCUUGGUGCGGACAGCGGAGGGCCGGUCGGGGUUGGGGUUGGCGGGGCUAUUUACUAUGUCGAAGCUGCAGCCGCGCGUGACCGUGCCGUCUGGGUGCAGGACAAGAUCGAGGUAGUUAUAGGCGUCGAUGGCCGGAGCUGGAUCGAGAUCCGGAUGCUGAUCGGCCAUGUUUUGCUUUCUGCUCGAGCUCGAGGUGGGACUGAAGAAAGAUGUGGGAAAAACCGGUUCUUUAUAGCCCGAGAAAAGUCAAAAGUCAAAAGCAGUCGAGGGCAACGGCUAUGGAUUUACGUACAUAUUAUAUGUUUAUUUUAUUUUACGACAUGCAUGUGAUGGCACGCCUGUUUAUUUCCCAUUUCUUUCUGUGGUCCCCACCUCGAGCAAAGGCAGAACACGGCCGGCCGCGACCGAUGACGUUGAUGAUGCGCGUGACCAACCUCUAAGCCGUCAUACGCACCGCAAGGCCGUGCCUGAUCCCGGCUUCCCAUUCGCGGUGGUCCCCCAAAGCUAAAUAGCACCGACACGUAAUAUGCUAUUUUUCAAAAAUAAAAAAUUUCGAUAUUUUAAGACACGUUAUAUAUUAAUUAAAUGUUUUUAGUUUUAAUUAAUUUAAUUUCAAUUCACAAAUAAAUAAAUAAUGAAAAAGAGCCCAUAAUGAAUUUAUACUAAUAAUAUUAAUAAACCUAUUCAUAGGAAAUUCAAAAGAUAUAUUCAUAAUUAAUACGUAUCCAUGUUUAAGGACAUGUUUCUAACUUUAACGAAAAUUAUUGAUGAAAUUAAUGACUAAUAAAGAAUUAUAAUCAACUUAUUUAAAUAAAUCUAUAACCUUCUACAAUAAUAAAAAUUUAUCAUUAUCUAACGUGUUUUUUCUUUUUUUCUGAAAUCACUUUUUAGCCUCACUUAAUUUGUUUUCUAAUAAAAAAAUCACUCCCUCGUUUCCUAGAAGAUGCCCACGUUUUCUUUUAUUCAUUUUUCCUCUUUUAUUCUCUUCUUUAUUUCUUUCUCUCUCCUUUUGUACUUUAUAUUUUUCUUGUGCUAGAUAUUGAAUCGCAAGUUCAAAGAAGAACAAAAAAGGGCCACCGGAAGGAAUUUUCCAAAAUAGUACGAAUGUGAUGAAUUUCCUUCGUUUCUUCCUCCCCUCUCUCCCCUCCAUUUGAAUUCUCAUAUUUGCAGUCUACUGCUCUCCUUCUAUUUUGGAUGAACUCAGACUUUCAGAUGAUUUAUUACAGAUCCUCUCUAAGAACUGAGAACCGAGCACAGGAGUUACACGCGCUCUAGAAGAGCGCGUAUGGAGAGUUAGUAGAAUGAAUAUGGUGAUUAAUUGAUAGAAUAUGAAAACAGGUGAUAACGAGACAUGAAGAGGAAUCGAAGUCGAUUUGUACUCUAUCUCACAUCUAUCGUCGGGGUUUCGCAUUGGUUGACUCGUUGACACUAGAGCGAACCGUUGCGUGAUUUAUUCAAGCACUAAUCGAUCCGUUUAAAUGUGACUGACGUAUACAUAUGUUUGAGUCUGAACGAGAGGUGACAAACUAUGGGACCUCACGACGCAGAUCUAAAAGUGGGAUGGAUGAUCUAAUUUCGACUACACUACGUAUAGACACUUUUCNNNNNNNNNNNNNNNNNNNNNNNNNNNNNNNNNNNNNNNNNNNNNNNNNNNNNNNNNNNNNNNNNNNNNNNNNNNNNNNNNNNNNNNNNNNNNNNNNNNNNNNNNNNNNNNNNNNNNNNNNNNNNNNNNNNNNNNNNNNNNNNNNNNNNNNNNNNNNNNNNNNNNNNNNNNNNNNNNNNNNNNNNNNNNNNNNNNNNNNNNNNNNNNNNNNNNNNNNNNNNNNNNNNNNNNNNNNNNNNNNNNNNNNNNNNNNNNNNNNNNNNNNNNNNNNNNNNNNNNNNNNNNNNNNNNNNNNNNNNNNNNNNNNNNNNNNNNNNNNNNNNNNNNNNNNNNNNNNNNNNNNNNNNNNNNNNNNNNNNNNNNNNNNNNNNNNNNNNNNNNNNNNNNNNNNNNNNNNNNNNNNNNNNNNNNNNNNNNNNNNNNNNNNNNNNNNNNNNNNNNNNNNNNNNNNNNNNNNNNNNNNNNNNNNNNNNNNNNNNNNNNNNNNNNNNNNNNNNNNNNNNNNNNNNNNNNNNNNNNNNNNNNNNNNNNNNNNNNNNNNNNNNNNNNNNNNNNNNNNNNNNNNNNNNNNNNNNNNNNNNNNNNNNNNNNNNNNNNNNNNNNNNNNNNNNNNNNNNNNNNNNNNNNNNNNNNNNNNNNNNNNNNNNNNNNNNNNNNNNNNNNNNNNNNNNNNNNNNNNNNNNNNNNNNNNNNNNNNNNNNNNNNNNNNNNNNNNNNNNNNNNNNNNNNNNNNNNNNNNNNNNNNNNNNNNNNNNNNNNNNNNNNNNNNNNNNNNNNNNNNNNNNNNNNNNNNNNNNNNNNNNNNNNNNNNNNNNNNNNNNNNNNNNNNNNNNNNNNNNNNNNNNNNNNNNNNNNNNNNNNNNNNNNNNNNNNNNNNNNNNNNNNNNNNNNNNNNNNNNNNNNNNNNNNNNNNNNNNNNNNNNNNNNNNNNNNNNNNNNNNNNNNNNNNNNNNNNNNNNNNNNNNNNNNNNNNNNNNNNNNNNNNNNNNNNNNNNNNNNNNNNNNNNNNNNNNNNNNNNNNNNNNNNNNNNNNNNNNNNNNNNNNNNNNNNNNNNNNNNNNNNNNNNNNNNNNNNNNNNNNNNNNNNNNNNNNNNNNNNNNNNNNNNNNNNNNNNNNNNNNNNNNNNNNNNNNNNNNNNNNNNNNNNNNNNNNNNNNNNNNNNNNNNNNNNNNNNNNNNNNNNNNNNNNNNNNNNNNNNNNNNNNNNNNNNNNNNNNNNNNNNNNNNNNNNNNNNNNNNNNNNNNNNNNNNNNNNNNNNNNNNNNNNNNNNNNNNNNNNNNNNNNNNNNNNNNNNNNNNNNNNNNNNNNNNNNNNNNNNNNNNNNNNNNNNNNNNNNNNNNNNNNNNNNNNNNNNNNNNNNNNNNNNNNNNNNNNNNNNNNNNNNNNNNNNNNNNNNNNNNNNNNNNNNNNNNNNNNNNNNNNNNNNNNNNNNNNNNNNNNNNNNNNNNNNNNNNNNNNNNNNNNNNNNNNNNNNNNNNNNNNNNNNNNNNNNNNNNNNNNNNNNNNNNNNNNNNNNNNNNNNNNNNNNNNNNNNNNNNNNNNNNNNNNNNNNNNNNNNNNNNNNNNNNNNNNNNNNNNNNNNNNNNNNNNNNNNNNNNNNNNNNNNNNNNNNNNNNNNNNNNNNNNNNNNNNNNNNNNNNNNNNNNNNNNNNNNNNNNNNNNNNUCAUUUCCUUUCUUGAAUUUGUAUGCUAAGUCCCAUUGGAAACCCCAUUUUUAAUUUAUUUUCUACUCUUCUUGCUAAAAUUAAAAGGGGAAGAAGCUCAAAAACAUAACUGCCGCCUCCUCCUCCUCCUCCUCGCAUGACCCUCUUCCUCUCUCUCUCGAUGGCCUGACUCGCCUCACAAUUGCUCGCCUCUGGCUCUUCCUCUUCCGCAGCUACAAUCUUGCCUUCGGCCCUCCAUCACGUGGUCCCAGUCGCGGCCCUUGGGGUCGCCUUGAUCUCUUCUCUUCCUCUAUCCUUCCUUUGCAGUCACGGCCUCACUGUUGAUUGCGACCUCACCUCGCUCCUUCGCCCUUGUCUCCACCCUCCAUCAUUUUCUUUAACGAUUCUCUCUCCCUUCGCACAUGCAGACCCGUCCUAGAAACUCUCCAUGCCUCGAACACACGUGUUAGAAUGUGUCAGGAAUAGUUGACCAUGUGUCGAAAAAUCCGACACGUAUUGAUCACACGUCCGAGCAUGUCGGACACGACAUGCUUCAUAGCCCCAAGGAUGGCCUGAGCAGGCGUUUUGGGCCAUGGUGAGGAUUGGGCUAGCCUAAGCUGUAUCUCGGGCAUCGUCAUCAGCUCAAUCGAGACAUACCUAGCCGAGCUGAGCGAUGUUGUGAGGGCCAUGAUAAAACUAUAGCUCAACUCUUCUGAAAGACUAACAUAAAAGGAUUAAAUUAAGAAUUUCAACAUAGAUUUCAUGGUUUAUCAUUAGCAUUACACAUGGUUUGAUCUUUGCUUGACCCAAUCACAAUCACUUGUAAUAUAAACGAAAAAGAAAAAUUGUCCAAAAAGUCCUAAAUCUAUUGUAUUUUUGUCAACUUAGUCAUAAACCUUUCAAAUUUAUCAAUUAAGUCCUAAACAUUUUUACUGCUUGCCAAUUGAGUUCAUCUGGCUAAUUUUAACUAGAAAUUACUGAUGUAAUCGAUCGGCACUAAUGUUGUGCUUUUUAAUAAUAUAUUAAUAAUUUUUGUCCUAUAAAAAAUCACAAACUUUUGCCCUUAUCCCGAAUAUGAUCCUCACUGUUAACUCUCUGUUUGAGGUCAACUUUGUUUUAGGAAAAAAAGAAGGUUCUAGUCAUAAGCUUGGCAGACCUCGUCCAUGGUAUCUUUUGGCGAGCAGUGGUAUAUAGCUUUAGAUUAUAUGACAAAAUGGCAAAGUUUAAUCAGAGAAGUUCAAUUCGAAGAUCUUUUUUACUUGCUAGUUAAGUGUAGGAGACAAUGAAUAACUUCAUCAUUAUUCUUCAGGCUAUUCUCUUAUCAUUCUCCCAAUUGCACCAUAUGUAUGCUAUGAUGCAAAAUUUUCAAAAACUAAAAUAUCUCUACUUUUUCUUUUUCUAACCUGUAAAAUGACAUAACAAAAUAUGAAUUUAUUAUACGAAGAAGUACAUACAAUAGCAACAAUUAUAACAAAUAUCUUACAAGAUAUUUACUUCUCUUUUAUACACUAUUGGACUUAGUUGGUAUUGUAGUUGGUUUUACAUUGCUUUUUGUGUUGAUCGGACAUGUUUCUGCAUCGUUAGGCUAUGUUGUCAUUUGCUGUUGUUGCUAUUAUUGCUUCUUAGUUAGACAAAGUCUUAUUGUGCCCUUUCAUAUAGUAAUGUGAGCAUUGAACCAUUCCACUAGUCCUGCUCAUUGUAUUAAUGCUAUUCUCAAUUUCCUAUCUUUUUUUUUUUUUUUAAGCCUAUCAACUUACUUCUUCAAUGGUAGACUCUAGGGAUUGAUGGUUUGUUUUGCUAGAAACUUGCUACUCUUCAGAGGCUACAACAUGAAUUGGUUGGUAUGCUGCAAGAGAGUUGUUAUUUUUGUCACAAUCUUCCACAUAAUCCUUUAAAUUGAGUUGCUUCAAUUGGAUGGCACAAAUUGCAUGUGAGCAAGGUAUUCCACUUAACUUCUAUGCCCGAUAGGAAUUUUUUUUUCUCCAAAUGAACAACAUACUUGUCGGCAUCAUUCAUUAUCUCAAAUCCAUUGUCUCCAUCACAGUAAUGUUAUCUUCCAAUUUUUUUGCAAUCUUGAGCCCAUAUUGUCUAAGCCAUUUCGAACAUUUACUCUCUGUUUUCACAAUCUGGUUAUCACCAUAAAUUUGAUGUCUUCAAGUAUACUGACAAUUAAUUUGCACCCGGCUUCAAUAAUCCUGUCGUUGAAAGUCUCGCAAAGGUUGUUGUCAACUCUAUCGUACUUUGAUUUCUCACUAAAAAAAAGCUAUAUGACAAUGCUUUACUUUAAUUUGGAACAAUGUUUGAUAAGUUUCAGUUGAUAAUGCAUGAAGAGCUUAUUUGUGAAUUCUGAAAUAUGUCAUAUUUGAACUCUUUGUAAUCAACCAAAACUAUUUUUGCAAUUAAUCAUCUUUAUAUUUUUUCGCCCAAUUUGCAUAUAUGUGUUGAGCACACAUUCUAUACUCGGUAUAUUGCAUCAACUUGGUUAUGGCUAGAACAAAUUCUUGUAAAAUCAACAAACAUUUGUAAAUUACAUGAAUGAGAUGGCAAGAUAUAAUGAUAUUAGCAAAACCAAUAAACAUUACCAAUACCUUUUGUUGAUCACUUCUAAAUGCUAAAUCUCUUCCAUUAGUUAUUCCAAAAUCAGCCAUCAGAUUUUUCAAAAACCAGAACCAAUUGUCCUUGUUUUCUAUCUUUACCAUGGUCCAAGUUACUGAAAAUAUUUAGUUGUUUCCAUCUCUCCUGGCAGUAGCCGAUAAUCCUCCCUUGCAUUACACUUUCAAAAAACACCCAACUAAUCCAAUCCCUUUUCUACAACCAACUAAAAAUCCAAUCUUAUCAAACUAUAUCUCUUGAUCAGGCAAGGGCUUUUCCACAACCUCUGCAUGAAUUCUGCUAAGUGGAUUUUGUAACCUAGAUUCCAUAACAUAAUCCCAAAUCUUUACAUAUUCUUUCUUAUAAAUACCCAUCAACCUAUUUAUAAUCUUGUACUAAGUCCAUUUGCACUGAUUGUGAGAAACAAUUACACAUACUUGCUCUUUCACUAGUUAUUUCAAUUGAGGAACUUUGAUGUUUGACAUUGCUUUGAUGAUGUUGAAUAAGUGCUUAGUCAACCACACAUUAGUCACUUUUUUCAUUCUUAAACAUAAUACCACAUGUGUGCUUCUUUUGUAGUAACCAAAUACGGAAUGAGCCACUCUUGUUACUCAACGCACCAUAUAUUAUCCAUGGACGAUUGUCUUGUGCACACUUCGCUUUAACAAAAUUAUUGGUAUUUCUAACAUAUUUAAUAUUUCGUUAUUGAGAGAUUGAGCACCUCAAUAGCAUCUCUGAAUUGCUUGGCAUUCUCAAAUGUCAUUGAUACACAAAAGGUAGGAUUUAUACCAAUUUGAUCAUAAGAAGGAUAUUGACUUCUUUUAUGUUGUGUUACACCAUCUUCAUCAUCAUCCUCAUGGUUGCCGCCGUUAUUACGGCAACUUUUCCCAUAAAUAAAAUAAUCACCAUUAGUUAUAGGAGCUCUUGCAUCUCUACUUACUGCACUGCCUUCAUUCAUGGCAUAAAUUGUGCUUUUCUCCUUUAUUCAAAUGCCCUGACCUCUUCCCUUACUUGUGUGAUAUCAUCAUCGUUAACAUCACUUAUGCAAAUGGUAUGCACAAAUGUUCAUCGUUUUCGUCGCUGGACAAUGCAAUUUUCUAAGAGUUCGGGGUUAUUCUAGUUGAUUCUUUAACAGGUGUAUCUUCACCAUUAGAUAUGCCUUCAGUAUCCUUAAAAUGCUGAAAUAUCUCUAACACAGAUGAUGUAUGCAAAUCUACGGCGUCCUUUGCCCUUACACGUCCUUCCAAAAUAGCUUCAACACUAUCUUGGGUUUCAAUAGUAGUUUACAAUACUAUUUGCUCAUCUUUUUCAUCGCAAUUAACUUUAACAUAUACAUAAACAUCAUGAGCAUACAGAAAAUGGUAAACAAGAUCCCUCACCCCAUUAUUGUUAUGCAAAUAUAUUACAUUAUCUUUAAGAGACUUAACGGGUACCUAUUAAGAGACUUAACCUAUUUUGCAUCUCAAUUGGUCUUCUAUAUCCCUUCUAAAAUUUAUAAAUGACAGUUCACUUAUGCUGACAAGAACAACGGUGACUUGCCCGCCAAUGUAUUCCUUCUCUUCCCCAGUAAUCCUAAACUCUACUGUAGCAAACUUUAAUGAACGCACUUCUAUCGCCCAUAUUAACACUAUACCAAAUACAAUAAAAUUUAUUUCUAUAUUAGGGAACCACAAUAUAGAUAGACAAUAAUAGCAAUUGGUCCUUACAACUCAAGCAAAUAAUAAUAUUAAAUCGGACCCCACAAUCACAAUAAACAAUCAGUCUUCACAUAUCAAGCAAAUAACAAUAUUAAAUCAGUCCCCACAACCACAGUAAAAUAUUUUCACUAUUGGCCAGUGGACACUAAUCGACAAAAUUUAAGCAUGAAUGAACUAAAGUACUCAUCUUUACACUACUCAAACCCUAAUAUUUGCCCUCUAAUAUGUUGCAUUUUCCCACACUUUGACUCUGUCAAACAACACCCAAUUCACUCACAUUGUCGGUUAGUCAACACAAAACAACAAAAACCACUAACCUUUACUCUUUGUCAACAAUGAUUCUCCACGUUACAACCCCUGACUUUUCCCUUUAAGUUGUUGCCUUUUCAGUCUUUGUCUAACGAGUAAGGAGGACAUGCAACAGUAAACUCGAAGCCCUAAUUUGCAAUUUCAGAGACAAAUCGCAAAGGGGUUUUGGGUGUGCUGAAAUUUAGUGUGGGGUCAAUGAAUCAAUAUCGAGUCGAUUAAGUGGGGGGUCGAUGAAGAUGCAAUUUUGGAUGGAAACCCUAAUUUUGUGAAUAGGGUUUGAAAUCAAAGAGAAAGAGAUCUUCAACCUCGUCUGAGAUGAGAAGAGAAAUGACGCCGUUUCUCUUGAGAGAGAGAGAGAGAGAGAGAGAGAGAGAGAGAGAGAGAGAGAGAGAGUGGUUGUAUGAAAUAAUACCAUUUUAGGCAAAAGAAAUGGUGUUGUUUCUAUUAAAGAGGAACUCCACUUGUUUUUCUAAAUAACUAUGUCAAAAUCGAAAAUUUCGACUUAUUUUUCUAAUUAUCCAUGUCAUAAUCGAAAAUCACUAAAAAAAUGGAAAAUCAAGAAAAAAUCCACGUUGGACGUUUGACUGGAAAUAACAUUUAAGUGAGCAAUUUUACUUGGAUUUGGCACUUAAAUGAGUGAAAAAAAAAGUUUUGGCACUUAAGUGAAUGCCGUACGAAAGUAUUGACAUUUAUACUGUUUUUAUCUCCUUAUAAUACGCAUAACAAUAAAUGAUCAAUUAAUAAACUCAUAACCAUGUGUGCUCACGAGAAGGGAUGUUACUUAUGGAAUUGGAAAAGAGUGUUCAUUUGAUAAUGCAAGGAAAGAGUAAAGGGCAGGGCAAGACAAGAAGAAAGGAAAUGGUAAAACACCCCCCUCCCCUAGCUAACAUAAAGAAGGAAUCUGAAUGCUUUUUUUUUUUUUAUAAAAAGAUGGGGCAUAUAAAGAAGGGUUGUGCCAAAUUUAAGGCUUUAUUCGAGAAAAAAAGUAAUCCAAUCUUACAUGUUGUUAUGAAUCUAAUAUGAUUAAUAUAAGUCAUAACGGAUUGAUUUUAGAUCUAUAAUUCAUAUUUUGAAUUCUUUAAAAGGUUUUCAUAAAAAAACAGUGGGAAGUAAGUAGGGCAUCCAAGAAAAAAGAUAAGUUCGCAUAUGGGAGCUAUUUGGGACAUGCAUAUUAGUUCUAAGCCGUAGUUUUGUUUUGAAUUUGGAAAUUACCUUUUAUAUUCUAAGUUUCUCUAUAAAUUUGAUUUCGGUUUCAAGACUUAUACCAUUAGGUCAUAUCUUUAAUUUCUUAUAUGCAACCUUUGAUUUAUCUUUUAAAAAUGAUAUAAUUGGGAAUUGUAUUUUGUUUAAUGGUCUUUUUUUUUGUAUUAAUUUACAAGAUAAUGCCUUUUAAUGCCAUGUAUGUUUAUGAUAAUGCUGGUAUAAAACGGUAUGUUAUGAAUUAAGAUUAUGACAUACCUUCAUGGAAAGAAUUAAAUGAUUAGUAAUUAAUGGAGUACUUAGAACUAUUGGAUUUUACUAAUCAUGACACUUAUGUGGAUUUGAUAAAAGGAAAACAAACCAACAAGAUAAAGAAAUGUCCCAAAAGGAGUACUGAGAUAUUAGAAAUCAUAUAUACAAACAUUUGUAGUCUAGAUUUUGACUAGUAUAGUUAGAAGUACUUUAUCUCUUUCAUAAAUAAUUACUCGCAUUUCAUGCAUCUCUACUUGCUUUAUAAUAAGCUUGAAACAUUAAAUACAUUUAAGGUAUUUAAAACCAAAGAAGAGAAACAAUGGGAAGAUCCAAUAAGGGGGGGGGGAUAUUAUGAUAGAUACAUUGAAGACGGACAAGUGCCUAGUCCAUUUGCAAAUAUAAUGAUAGAUACAUUGAAGAUGGACUAGCGCUUUGAUAUCAAGUAUUUAGCCAUAUAAAAAUUGUCACUUUCACUGAAUUGAUAAUUGUCAAUCAUUUAACUAAAGACACGUCAUCAAUGAGUUAUAAGAAUCAUGUAAUUAGGAUGGGGCUUGGUCCUAUCAUGUGAUUUUUCAUUGUAUGGAAUUUUUUUUAUGAAACUCUUAUUCAUUUAUAAUGUUUUUCUCAAUUUGGGGGGUGUGGACAUCGCAAGUGCCACAACUUGGUAUAAGAUGACACUUAAAUGUCAAAAGUUAUAUAUAUAUAUACCAAAAUCAGAAAAGAAUAGAACACUUAAGUGCUAAUGAUGAGAAAUUCCAACCAAACAACUUACGUGGCAUUUUUUGUCGACUUUCUUUUUUAAGACAUGGCAAUUUAAAAAAAAAAAAUAUUGACGUUAGUAAAAAGCCCUCAUAUAAAAUUUUAAUAUAAAUAUUAAUUAAAAACUAAAUAAAAAACUAAAUUAAAAAAAAGGAACAAUAGGUUUGACAAGGAUCUCCAUAGCCCUUGCCGCCGCCAUCCCACCAUUGUCGGAAGCCGGCAACAGUGGGGCGAGGGUCGGUUGCUUUUGCCCACCAUUAGGUAGUUCCAGAUCUAGCGAGGUUAGCGGUCAAUGGCCCUUGGCCCCUUUGGGCGAGGGUCAGUGAUCCUCACCCUAGAUUUGGGCGAAGGCCUACAAGCCCUCGUCAGCCACUACCUAGGGGCUAACGGCCCCGAUUGACCCUUGCCCCACCAUCGCUGAUCCUUUGUGACUAUGGUGGAGCAGCAGCGGGGGCGAGGGUUGUGGAGCCCCUUGCCGAACCUGCCAUUCACCUCCUUUUUUAAUAAUUUAAUUUUUUUAAUUGAUUUUUAAUUAAUAUCAAAUUAACAAAUUUAUGGGAAAAAUGACAUCAUUUUGCACAUUCAUUGCUAAGUAAGCAUUUUGGUGAACCACGUAGAUCACUAAUAUUAUUAAAAUAAGUCAUGUUGAAUUUCCAGUUACCUUUGUUGACAUUGAUACUUAAGGACGCGUUUGGUAACGAUUCUAUUCUUGAGAACAGUUGUUGAUUAAAAAUGAUUCAUUUUUAUUUUAUUCCCGGGAACAAUUUCUUAGCAAAAAAACGCGUUUGGUAACUGUACAAAAUUUCUGAUUCUGGAAUAGAAAAAGAACAUAAAUGUGUUUGGUAACUACAUAAAAUUUCUAUUUCAAUUCUAAAAUUUUAUCAAAUUAUAGAAAUUCUAUUGAAUAAUUAUAUUUAUACUAAGUAAUAAAGAUAUUAACUAAUCAAUUUUUUAUUAAAUAGUAAAUAAUAAACUAUAGUAUAACUAUAAAUAUAAAUACUAAAUAAUAAAUUAACAUAUAAAAUUAAAUAUGUAUUCUAUAUAUAGCAAAAUUUCCAUUCAUACUUCAAUUUUUUUUAAAUAAUUUUAUUAAUUUUUUCCUCUUUUUUUUUUUUUCCUUUCUUCCUCCUCCUUCUUCUUCAAGGUGGCUAGUUGCUGGCCUUGGGAUGACCGGCGACUAGCUAGAUGAGGGCCAGUAACCUCAACGGAGCGUUGCUGGCCUUCGGCAAGGCCGUGCCUUGUCGGCCAAGCCUCGCCCGGCCAAGUGGGGCUUGCCGGUGGCUGGGGGAGGCUCGCCUCGCUAACGGUUGGGCAAGCUCACUCACAACCGGCGGCAGUGGGUGGCGGACGGCGACAUUCGGCGGGGGGCAAUGGCGACAUCAGAUGGCAAUGGCGGCGCCGGCGACACUUGAAGAACAAGAGAAGGAAAAUGAAUAAAAGAAGAAAGAGAAGAAAAAAAGAAAAAACAUAAGUAGAUUUGAUUCCAAAAUUGUUCCCAGGAACAAAGAAUCAACUUUUUAUUUAUUUAUUUAUUCUUGAUUAUACUCUAAAUCUAUUUCUGGGAACAAAUUUGUUCCCAAAAACAAAAAUUUUACCAAAUGCAAUUCUGUUUCAAAACUACUCUCAGAAGCAAAAAAUCAGAAUCGGAUACUAUUUGGAUGGUUACCAAACAACCCCUAGGUGUCCUAAUUUAAAAAAAGAAAAAGAAAAAAGAAGUAACACUUAAGUGUACUUUUUGGAAGUUUCGGCAUUUAAGUGUCCACUCAUGCCAAGUUUUGGCACUUGCUGAUAUAGCUAGUAAUAGCACCUAGAGGGGGGUGAAUAUGUGUUUAAAUAAUUUCUCGAGAUAUGAAAGCAAUACUGGACUAACAACAUAAAUGAAGCUCUCCUUUAGUUAACAAAUCGAACUAUGAUCAAAGUAAAGUGGAGAGUAAGGAAGAGAAGAUUGAACACAAGGUUUAUAGUGGUUCGGCUUAUUCCAAGCCUACGUCCACUCUUCUGCACUGACAGCCUACUGGCUGGAUUUCACUAUGAACAAAAGAGAUAUUACAGCACUGCUUUCCCUUGAUUCCACAGUGUAGAUAUUCUAUCACACUUCCUCAAGGUCUCUCAAAGUAUAGACUCUCUUUUGUGUACAAGAUUUCGCUCAGCAAAUGAAUUGACUAAGAAUCAAAGAGCUUCAGACUUUGGAAUUCUUCUAUAGUGCACUCCUCGAACAACUGGAACGUCUUCCUUUUAUACUCCUUUGUGCCAUCAUACCCAUUGGCACUUACCAAAGGAAUUCUUCCAAUCCUCCCGUUGGACAGAAUCAAUUAGGAAGAUUAUUCGAGCUAUUAAAGGAACAUGUCGAUAGCCCAUCAAUCCUGCUCGCCCAUACAAUCAGGAUCUUGGUUUCCAUAAGUAGAACAUUCCAGGAAUACUUCGUCAAUCAUCGGAUCUUUAAUCAUUCUUGAUUUGAAUAAAGGAAUCCGUUAUGUCUUAUCCAGCCAAGAGAUCUUCUCCAGUCGAUAAGGCCAAAUCCUUAGAGAAGCACUCAAUUCUGGAUAGCCUUUCUUCAACGGAUUAGAAACUGUCAAUCAGAAUAAACUUUGAGUCUUGAGUCCGGCAGUCCGGAGGUCUUCAGACUUUAAUAGCAGAGUCCGCAAAUCUUCAGACCAGACUGAUAGAAACGUUUUGUCAGCUUUAAAAUAUUCCAGAAAGAUUUCUCCAACACUUGCGGUAUACUUUCCCCCUCAAUUUGGUGUACACAUGCAUUUAUUUAUGAGAAUAACAAUUAUGUUGGAACUUGACAUAAUAUAAGGUUUAUUCAUAAAAUUAUGUUAUCACAUAUAAGCUGACAUUAAAGAUAUAGAGUGCAUUACAAUACAUGGAAGAUAAAACUCGUUCUUAGAGGAUAUAUCAUCUUGAUUCAUGUAUUUUGUUUUUUUCCUUUUAAGCAUAAAGUUUUUGUAGAUUUGGUCUAAUAAUUUAUAUGAUGAAGAUGUUAAAUCAAGUGGAAGGAUGUUAUUAAUUUGAUACGAUGAUCCCACGUUUUCUUGACCCAUGUUUUUUUGUAAUCACUUUAGUUAUUCCACGUUUUUCACCUCUUCAUAUUCUUGUGUGAUAAUUGACACCUCUUACUAUUAAUAUGAUUAAUUACAAUCAAUGUAAUUAAUUAUGUGAUAGUGACAACUGUCAUUUUUUCCUAUAAAUGUGAUUAAUUAUAAUUAAUGUAAUUAAUUAUGUGAUAAUUAUCACCUUAACUGCCCACCGUUAGAGUAACAACCUUGAUGGAAGGAUGUUAUAGAAGCUGAGAAUGGGAUAUGUAAAACAUGCCUAAGCCAAGCUCUCUCGUAAGGAAAAACGCACAAUCGAAUUGAGAGAGAACACUAGAUUAGUAGUGCCCAUUUUUUAUUCGUCAAAACUCCGCAAAUUGAGUUCCAACCGAGCUUAGUCAAAGGCUGGAGGUCAGUUACGGUUCAUGUUAUUUUUUUCGUAUUUGGUUAUUUUAUUCAUGAAUUUAUGUUCGUCAAUGUAUAAUUAGAUCGUGCUUAGUUCUAUCAGAUUCCACAGUUGCUAAUCUAUUGAAGGACUGAUCUAUGGCAAUAUGCAUGGUUUGCUCUUUGCCCAACCCGAUUGAACCACCAGCAACGUGAGGGAACUUUAAUGAGAAUCUGAGAGAGGCGAUGCUGUCUAUCAACGUGAUUGCUAACGAAAGCUCGAUAGGACUUCUCAGAUUGCAAGUUCUCUUUUCUUCUCUUCCUCUUCUUCCCUCUGUUUUUUACUUUCGUGUGUUCUUUCGCUGCAAGAGGACUCAAUGGGCGUGUUCGCGCAUGCAUGAACGGGGGGGGGGGGAGGUGGGGGGUGGCUUUUGCCGACGCGGAUGUCGCACAAGAACCGCGAAAAAGGCAGGCUAUCGAAAGGUUGUAUCUUAUACUUUUGAUGCGCUAAAGCUUUUACCUUUCAUCGCAUUGAACCAACAAUGCGAUAGAAUCAAAGUGGCAUGCCGAGAGCAAUAUUCCAUAACUCGACUAUAAUAUAUGGUUUGUGGCGACUUGUAUCAAUUCAGAAAUCUCCCGGAAGGUAGAAGCUGUUGAUUCUAAAACUUAAGGACCAUCUUGCCGACCAAAGCUCGGGUCCAAGAAUUAAUAGGCAAUGCAAAAAUCCUGGUUAAAGCCUUGGGGGUUUAGGACCGGGAUCGAUCCUCCUAUCGAUGAUCAGAACGGAAGAGAGAAGUGCAAAGUAAAAGCAAAUGUGUAUCAUAUCACUGUCUAUUGCGGUUGGAAGCAUUUAUGCCUUUUUCAAUGGCGGAGAUGAGGAUGAUGUAUGAAAACACGUAAUGCUACUCAAACUUCACUAUCUUACGAGAUAAUGAGGUUGUUUUCAUUCAGUAGAUAGCAUCCGUUUUUGACCGCAGUUUAUCUUCCCGUCCCCGGCUGCCGGAAUAGCCAAGGCGCCCCCAUGAAGGAUACCUUUCAGUUUCUCGAGCAGCAGCUCCGCCUUAGCCAGUUCCAGUAACUCCUCUUGAUGAUAAUCGCCUUCGCCGCUGAAGAGGCCCACCAUUUUUAUGCCAUUCGCCUCCAGCUGCGCUGCCAACUCCCUCUGCCGAUCUAUGAUUGGAUCUCGGCCACCACCCACCACCACCACCCGCCACCCCAUCGUUCUCAUCCUCUCCCACUCCCCCAGUCUCUCCCCAGCCAUCGGGUUGCAAUACUGGUGGUCCCGGUCUGUGCCGGCCGGAAGCGCGAGCUCCCAGGAUAGGUCUGCCACGUUCAUCGGCAGGAUUGGGUUGUUGAACAGCCUAACUUCCGACUCGGUCCUCUGGAGUCCGCCGAAGAAGGGGUGGUGCAAGAUCAGGGUUCUGAUCACCAAAGGCUCUAGAUCGGCCGGGGUGGCGCACGCAUGGAGGCCCACAUGGUACGCGAUGUUCCCCCCAGCGGCCGUGCCCAUCAGGUAGCACCGCGAGAAGUCAACGCCCUCGCGAAGCCACUCCUCCUCGGUGGUCCUGACCCAGCGGAGGGCCUCCAUGGCGUCAUCAUAGGCCGCAGGGAGGCGGUGCUCCGGCGCAAGGCGGAAGCUGGGGGAGACGACGACGGCACCAAGCUUGGCCGCCAUGAGGGAGCAGAAAACGUGGAAUAUCUCGUGGGCCGGGGAGGAGUAUAUGAAACCGCCGCCGUGGUAAUAUACGAUGAGCGGCAGUCUCUGGUCAGGCGGGGGUGACAGGCUAGGCACGUAGAUCCGGGCCCAGGUGUUGUGGGUCAGGUCGACCGGGACGUCCUUGGUGCGGACAGCGGAGGGCUGGUCGGGAUUGGGGUCGGCGGGGAUAUCUACCAUGUGGAAGCCACGCGUGACCGCGCCGUCUGGGUGCAGGACAAGAUUGAGGUAUUUAUAGGCGUCGAAGGCCGGAGCUGGAUCGAGAUCCGGAUGCUGAUCGGCCAUGUUUUGCUUUCUGCUCGAGCUCGAGGUGGGACUGAAGAAAGAUGUGGGAAAAACCGGUUCUUUAUAGCCCGAGAAAAGUCAAAAGUCAAAAGCAGUCGAGGGCCACGGCCGUGGUAUGGAUUUACGUACAUACUUUAUUCAUUUAUUUAUUUAUUUUACAACAUGCAUGUGAUGGCACGCCUGUUUAUUUCCCAUUUCUUUCUUUGGUCCCCACCUCGAGCAAAGGCAAAAUACGGCCGGCCGCCACUGAUGACGUUGAUGAUGCGCGUGACUAACCUCUAAGCCCUCACGCGCACCGCGAGGCCGUGCCUGAUCCCGGUUUCCCCGUUCACCAUGGUCCCCAAAGCGAAGUAGCAUGUCAUUUUUCAAAAAUAAUUAAUUCUAAUAUUUUGAGAAACGUUGUAUAUUAAAUAAAUAUUAUUAUUUUCAAUUAAUUUAAUUUAAAUUCAUAAAUAAUGAAAAAGAGCCUAUAAUAAAUUUAUACUAAUAGUAUUAAUAAAUCUAUUCAUAGGAAAUUCAAAAGAUAUAUUUAUAAUUAAUGCAUAUCCAUGUUUAAGGAUGGGUUUCUAACUUUAACAAAAAUUAUUAAUGAAACUAAUAAUUAAUAAGAAAUUAGAAUCGACUUAUUUAAAUAAAUCUAUAACUUUCUACAAUGAUCAAAAUUUAUUUUUAUUUAACAUUUAGUGCUUUUUUUUCCGAAAUCACUUUUUAGCCUCACUUAUUUAUUUUUCUGAUAAAAAUAAAGAAAAAAUCAAUAGGAAUAAAUCACUCCCUCGUUUCCUUGAAGAUGCCCACGUUUUCUUUUAUUCAUUUUUCCUCUUUUAUUCUCUUCUAAUUUUUCUCUCUUUCUCUCUCUUUUUGCACUUUAUAUUUUUCUUGUACUAGAUAUUGAAAUGCAAGUUCAAAGAAAAACGAAAAAGGGCCGCCGGAAAGUAAGGGCGCGUUUGGUUGUGUUUCUAUUUAAAAAUUGUUCCAGGGAACAGAAAUAGAAAAAAGUAUUUCUGUUCUGGGGAACAAUUUUUGAACAAAAAUACGCGUUUGGUAAACUUGUUCCGGGAAUAAAAAAUAAACAGAAACAUGUUUGGUAAAUUUGGAUAAUUUUUUUAUUUCUUUUAUUUUUUCUAUUUUUUUCUUAUUUUUCCUUUUUUUCUUUUUUCUUUUCAAUUUUUUUUCUUCUUUGCCGGCGACCGGCCGGCGAGGGCCGANNNNNNNNNNNNNNNNNNNNNNNNNNNNNNNNNNNNNNNNNNNNNNNNNNNNNNNNNNNNNNNNNNNNNNNNNNNNNNNNNNNNNNNNNNNNNNNNNNNNUGUAGCCUUGCCUCCAACCCUCCAUCGCGGGGUCCCAAUUGCAACCCUCAAGAUCGUCUCGAUCUCUUCUCUUCCUCUGGCCUUCCCUUGCAGUUGCGGCCUUGCCAUUGAUUGUGGCCUCACCUCAUUCCUUCGCCCUUGCCUUCACCCUCCAUCAUCUUCUUCAAUGAUUCUCUCUCCCUUCGCACAUGUGGACCCGCCCUAGAAAUUCAUCAUGCCUCAAACACACGUGUCAGAACGUGUUGGGAAUAGUUGACAUUGUGUCGAAAAAUCUGACACGUGUUGACCGCGUAUCCAAGCGUAUUCAAGCAUGUUGGACACGUCGUGCUUCAUAGCCCCAAGGACGGCUUGAGUAGGCGUUUUGGGCCGUGGUGAGGAUUGGGCUAGCCUAAGCUAUAUCUCGGGCAUUGUCAUCGGCUCAAUCGAGACAGACCUAGCCGGGCCGAGUGAUGUUGUGAGGGCCAUGAUAAAACCAUAGCUCAACUCUUCAGAAAGGCCAACAUAAAAUGAUUAAAUUAAGUAUAUCAACAUUGAUUCUGUGGUUUAUCAUUAGCAUUACACAUGGUCUGAUCUUUGCUUGACCCGGUCACAAUCACCCACAAUAUAAACGAAAGAGGAAAAUUGUCUAAAAAGUUAUAAACCUAUUACACUUUUGUCAAUUUAGUUAUAAACCUUUCAAUUUUAUCAAUUAAAUCCUAAACCUUUUUACUUCUUGCCAAUUGAGUCAAUCUGGCUAAUUUUAGCCAAAAAUUACUGACGUAAUCGGUUAGCGCUAAUGUCGUGCUUUUUAAUAAUAUAUUAAUAAUUUUUGUCCUAUAAAAUCACAAACUUUCACCUUUAUCCCGAAUAUGGUUCUCACCAUUAACUCUCUGUCUAAAGUCAACCUUGUUUUAGGAAAAAAAAAUGGUUCUAAUCAUGAGCUUGGCAAACCUCAUCCAUGAUGUCUCUUAGUAGACACUGGUAUACAGCUUUAGAUUAUGACAAAAUGGGAAAAUUUAGUAAGAGAAAUUCAAUUUGAAGAUCUUUUUCCCUUAUGACAAUAAGGGAAAGUUAAGUGUGGGAGGCAAUGAAUAACUUCAUCAUUAUUCUUCAAGCUAUGACUCAGAAAAUAAGACAAUGAGUAGUGCUUUAAAUCCAACUACAAGUGCACACGAAUUUAUUGCUAAGAACAAUCAAUGGUUCUAAAUUAAAGGGGGCCAGAUUUGGGAUUUAAAUGAAAAUUUUGAUUUUUUUCAAAACAAAAAAAAAAAGUGGGGUCAUAAUAAUUGUCACUCGACUUAAGGUUGAUGCUUUUUUAAGAAACAAAAUAAAGUUGAGGUUAGAAUUGUUACUCGAUGAUGAUGAUGAUGAUGAUGAUGAUGAUGAUGAUGAUGAUGAUGAUAUUAUUAUUAUUAUUAUUAUUAUUAUUAUUAUUAUUAUUAUUAUUAUUAUUAUUAUUAUUAUUAUUAUUAUUAUUAUUAUUAUUAUUAUUAUUAUUAUUAUUAUUAUUUACAUUAGCCCCAUUUUUUUACUACAUUCCUAUUUGCUCAAUGGUCUCCUCAUGCUACGCAAAAUUAGUCAGCUCUUUAAAUUUCAUUGCAGUUGAGGACCUCAGGAGUUUGAAGGACAAUUUCUCUUUUUUACUGUAGUGUUUUUCUUUCCUCAAAUUUCGAGAAUUUUAUUUUGAAUUUUGAAACUUCUCUAUUCAUUAUCUCUUUUUUCAAAUGUUUAAACUUGCCAUAUUAGCCGCGACAAUCAGUUUCAUUAAAGUGAAUAACGAAAAAAAGCUCAAGUGCACAUAUCAUACAAAUUAAAUGACUUGAUCAAACAACUUACAAGACGAAGGCUUCGAUCCUCGAUUAACAAAACUUGUAGCUUCAGAUCAACAUGAAUAAAGUAUUUCGAGCACGAUUUUGCAAAAAUGCUGCAUGUUCAUGGCGACAAAAGCGACACAAGAAUCAACCUUGCCAAAAAAUAGUAAGGAGAGUUGAAACAAAGUACCUUUUUGAUUGCCUCAAGAAAGACUUUAUAUCUUGACUCCAUGAAUCUCGUUAUACUCUCCUAAUCAAGCACCUAAAGUCAACAGAUUAUGUUGGGAAUAUAUGAUGAACAAUUGGGAAGAAUAAUGAAAUUAGACUUUGAGGCGUAAUAUCACUUUCUUUAAAAAAUUAUUUGCCCCACAACAUUGUUAAUGGUAACUGGCAAAUUUUAUCUAGAAUACAACAAAGUCUUGAUUGAUAACACUCAUAGCAAUUUUAGUAUUUCUCCAAGAUAUCUCAAGGGAAACGAUUGAAAACUAUGGUUGUAUAUUUUUGAAAGGAGAAACGAAAAUUGUGUAAAGAAAUGAACACAAAUGUUAAAUAAACAUAUCUAAACGGAUACAACCUUUCAAAGAUAAAGAAGUUGUGUCCAAAUAGACAUGACCUACAAAAAUAAUAAAUUCAAAAUUUAAUAAUUAAAACAUAACCAUCACUCUAUUAUAAAUAGUCACAUUGUUUUAACAUAAUGCAUUGUUGAUUAAUGUCAAACCUCAUCCACGUGUACUCACCUCUCUUCAAUGUGGAACAAGACACCUCUUAAUUUGUUUUACAAACAAACUACCAACAAUCAUCCACUUUGUUUGUAAAACAAAUUUAGAAGGGUUUCAGCCUCAUUUCCUGCAAGGUCAUAUUUCCCAUGUCUCUUGAUAAAACUUUAUCAAGGGAUCAACUAGAUUCUUACUUGACCUCACAUAGACAAUUGUUAUGAUACCAUCUUGAAUCAAUUGCCUCAUGUCAUAAACCAUUAUGUCUAGACUUACCAUUAUAAGUGCUACUAUAAGCUCUUACCAAAGUAGCCUAACUAUCACAAUGGAUAUAAACAAAAGGCAUAGGACUAGGCCAUAAUUUGAUAUCUAAAAAUAAAUUUCUAGUCCAUUCAACCUCUUUCUUAGUUAAUGCUAAAGCAAUAAAUUUAGAUUCCACCGUCUAGUGGGUUAUGCAUAUUUGUUUCUUGCUCAUCCAAUAUACAACACAUCCAUCUAAUGUGAAAUCCACCCAAAAGUGAAAUGUUUAUGACCUACACUUGAAAUCCGACUAGCAUUAGCAUAUCUUUCUAAUACAAUCGGAUAAUUAUUAUAGAACAAUUAUAAAUUUUUUUAACCAAAAAUUUGAGUAAUAACUUUCUAAUGUUUUAUACUUGGAUUACUAGUAUACUUAUUCACUUUGUACACAGAAUAAGUAAUGUUGGGUCUAGUACAAUGCAUCACAUACAUUAAAAACCUUAUAGCACUCGCCUAUUCAAGUCAUGUUACUGCUCUUAUUUUUUAAUUAUUUAAUUUCGAAUUUAUUGUUUUUUUCUAAUGGUUAUUAGUCACUCUUAGAACCUUUGGAAGGUUGUGUCUAUUCAAGCACUACUUCUUCAUCUUUCAAAGGUUGUAUCCAUUUAAAUAUAUUUAUUCAAUAUUUGUAUUCUAUUCUUUGCACAACUUUCGAUUCUCUUUUCAAAGAUAUACGUCCAUAAUUUUCAAUUGUUUUCAUUGAGAGACCUAGAUAAAUACUAGGAUAACCAUCUAAUAUUUCAAUCAAGGUUUUGUUGUAUCUUGAAGAAAAUUUACCCGUGACCAUUAAUCACGUUGUGAGGCAACAAAAAUCUUAAAGAAAAUAAUAUCAUGCCUCAAUGUCUAAGUUCAUUAUUUUUCGCAAUCGUUUGUCAUAUUUUCCUGACAACUUUUAUACUUAUAAAUUCGAUUUAGAAAUGAGAAAUAUGAUCAUUAAUUAGUAUCAAACCUCGUCUACAUAUGUAUUCACAUCUUUUCGACUUGGGACAUGUGUCUGGUCCCUUUCCCUUGCGGAAUCUCCAAUUUUAUUUCGUUCCAUCCCCUCUUUCUCGGUUCUCUAGCUCGGCCCGAUCGAAUCCGCUAUCUCCUAGAUAAAACUUCCAAGAAUAAAACAAAGUGGGAUCCUUCGCUGCCCAUCUGCUCCUUUUUAUAAUGUUCUCGUUUUUCCCUCCCCCUUUAAGCUGCGGAUCUGGAAGGUAUAGAGCAGGAGAUUAACACAGUCGAAGAGAGAGAGAGAGAGAGAGAGAGAGAGAAGCAAUGGGGAUCUUGCAUGCGUAUGAGGAUGCGGUUCAGAUCAGUGAGUCGGAGAAAGAGACUGCCAAAAGGCGGGCUAUUGAAAGGUUGUAUUUUAUAUUCUUGAUGCGCUAAAGCUUCUUUGCGUGACGCGUAUCGAUACAGAAAAGUCCCGAGACGUAGAAGCUGUUGACGCUAAACUUGAGGGACCAUCUUGCCGACCGAAGCUCGGCUCUGAGAAUUAAUCGGCAAGGCCAAAAUCCGGGUUGAAGCUUCUGGGUUUCGGAUGCGGAUUGAUCCGCCCAUAAAUGAUUGGAAAGGAAGGGAGAAACAGUGCAAAAGAAAAGCUUGUGUGCAUCACACCCCACAUUCAUUGCGGUUGAGAGAAAUUCGUGCCUUUUAUUGGUGGAGAUACAGAUGAUGUAUGGGAACACAUUUAGGCAACUCAACUUCACUUCCUUACAAUAUAAUAUAAUUGCUUUCAUUCGAUAGAUGGCAUCCGUCUUUGACCGUCGUUUAUCUUCCCGUCCGCGGCUGCCGGAAUAGCCGAGCCGCCGGCUCAAAUGAUACCUUUCAGUUUGUCGAACAACAGCUCCGCCUUAGCCGGUUCCAGUAUCUCCACUCCAUGAUAAUCACCUUCACUGCUGAAAAGGCCCACCACUUGCACGCCCUUCGCCUCCAGCUUCGCCGCCAACUCCCUCUGCCGAUCUAUCAUCGGAUCUCCGCCGCCGCCUACCACCACCACCCGCCACCCCGGCUUUUUCAUCCCCUCCCACUCAUCCGAUCUCUCCCCAGCUGUCGGGUUGCAAUACUCGUGGUCCCGGUUAGCGCCGGCCGGCAGCGCCAGCUCCCAAACCCGGUCCGCCCCGUUCACCGGCAGGGUUGGGUUGUUGAACAGCCUCACUUCCGACUCGGUCCUCUUGGACCCGCCGAAGAAGGGAUGGUGCAAGAUCAGGGUCCUGAUCACCAGAGGCUCCAGAUCGGCCGCAGCGGCACACAAGCGCAGGCCCACGUGGUACACGAUGUUUCCCCCGGCGCUCGUGCCCAACAGGUAGCACCGCGAGAAGUCAACGCCCUCGCGAAGCCACUCCUCCUCGGUGGUCCUGACCCAGCGGAGGGCCUCUAUGGCGUCGUCGUAUGCCGCGGGGAGGCGAUGCUCCGGAGCGAGGCGGUAGCUGGGGGAGACGACGACGGCGCCGAGCUUGGCGGCCAUGAGGGAGCAGAACACGUGGUGCACCGUGUUGGCCGGGGAGCACCAGACAAAGCCGCCGCCGUGGUAAUACACGACGAGCGGCAGUUUCUGGUCGGCCCGGGUAGGAGACGGGCCAGGCAAGUAGAUCCGGGCCCAAGUGUUGUGGGCCGGGUUGAGCGGGACGUCCUUGGUGCGGACGGCGGAGGGCUGGUGGGGAUCGGGGUCGGCGGGGGUAUUCGGAAUGUGGUGGCCGCGCGUGACCGUGCCGUCUGGGUUGACGACGAUUUUGACAUAGUCAUCAGCGUUGACGGCCGGAGCUGGAUCGAGAUCCGGAUGUUGGCCAGCCAUGUUCGCUCUGCUCGAGCUCGAGGUGGGACUGAAGGAAGCGAUGGGGAAACCGCUCUUUGUAGCCAUCCGAGUUCUCCGAAAAGUGAAAAAGUCAAACGCACGAGCGCGGCCGCCGGUCCCAGCCGCACCUUCGCCGUGCUCCCCACGGAUGGCCCGAGCGAGCCGUUUUGGACCGUGAUAAGGAUUGGGCCAGCCCAAACUGUAUUGGGCUGGGCGUCCCGAGUGAUAUCACGUGGGCCGUGAUAGAACUAGCUCAAUUCUUGAAACAAAAACUUAUAUGAAGGAUUAAGUAAAGCGUUAACGGCACGGUUAAGAAGAAAACAAACAGGUUUGACAAACGGCGCAGCAUAUCAGCACGUAUUGAUUCCAUGGUUUCCUCACCUGCUGAAGGACUAAUCUCUGGCGCUGCAAAUGGUUUGCCCUUCACCCCACCCGGUCACAAUCAAACGAGAAAAUCAGAGAGAGACGAUGUUGUAUAUCAAUCUGAAACUUAAUUUUUUUUCGGUUUAAGCAUUUUUGCAAUGACUUAUCUCGAAGUCGUCACACACCACCGUGCCCGAUCUUGGCCACCCCUUCCCUGUGCUCCCCCAAGGAUGGCUCGAGUGGGCGUUUUGGGCCAUGAUGAGGAUUGGCCAGCCCAAACUAUAUCUUGGGCAUCGUCGUUGGCUCGGUUGGGAUGGGCCUAGCUGGGGUGAGCGAUGUUGUGUGGGCUGUAAUAAAACUAUAGCUCGACUCUUAAACAUACUAAUAUAAAGGUUGUGUUUAUCAAUCAAGAUUAAAUUCAAUAUAGGAUUAAAUUAAUCAUAUCAUGUGUUUGGUACUUGCUCGAGAUAAGAUAAUGUUAAAUAUAAGGAAAAAUAGACCAAAUAAAAUUAUUUAAUGGGAAAGGUGAGAUAAAAUUACCCUAUGGUUGAGAUGAGAUAAAAAUGAAUAGGAUUUUUAGCAUCCAUAAUAAGAAAGUUGUUUUUCUCGAAUAAUAAACUUAUUAAAUUAACAAAAUUAAAAUUAUAUUUAAUCUAAUAAUAUUUGAAUUUUAUUAUAAGAAAUUCAAAAUAAAAAAUAAAAAUUUAGUUAUUUUAACUUAAUCUUAUUUAUAUUUAUAUGUUCGAAUUUAAUUCUAUUUUAUAAUAUAAAUCCAAUAUAUAAAUAUAAAUAUAAAUAUAAAUUUGUAUUUAUUACAUAUUUUAGGUAUAUUAGUACAAUUCGCUAUUUUAUAAAAUUUUACUAGAGAAUGGUGGAAGGGGUAGAAUGAAAUUAAAAAAGAAAUUAAUUAAAAAAAGAGAGGAAAAUAAAAUAAAAUAAAAAAAAUAAAAAGUAAGCAAUAGUGUCAUAAGAGAUUUUUAUCAUAUCCGCUUGUAAAAUUUUUGGUUCAUUUAUACUAAUUACUAUUUAUUCAAAUUAAUGUAUAUAAUAUGAUGUAAAUAUAUCUAAUUUUUUAUUGCAAUCACCAAAUAGUGGAUAUGAUAUAAAAAAUUCAUAUAUUUUUUAUCUUAUUUUAUCUAGUCCUAUCUUUGUGUAAAAUCCGGACGACCAAAUGUAAGCAAAAUGAUUAAAUGAAGAAUAAAUCAAAUAGGUUCGACAAAUGGCGCAAUAUAUCAACAUAGAUUCCACUGUUUCUCAUCUGCCAAAGGACAAAUUUGUGGCACAACACAUGGUCUGGUCUUUGCCCGACCUGAUCGCAAUCACCUGUAACAUAAGCGAAAUUUUAAUCAAAAAAUUUGAGAGAAAGGAUGUUAUAAAUUGAUUUGAAACUUAAUUUUUUUGAAUUUAGGUGUUUUUCAAUUUAGUCCACCGGCUUUUACUUUGUGCAAUCAAAUCCUCUAAUCAAGUGGUUUGUUUACCUAUUGCGAUUUCUUUUUGGGCAAAUACCUCAGAAAACCUUAGAUUAUGUCCAUUGCGAUGCAAAUACCUCAGAUUAUUUUUUUGCGUCACCUAAUAUUCUAAACUUGCUCAGUGUCACAUAAAUAUUCCCAACUUUUUUUGUGUCACAAAAUAAAUCAAUUUUAUAUAUGUGUGACAUAUAUACCCUUUAUUUCAGGUCCACAUUGGGUAUAUUUGUCAAAUUGAUAAAUUUGAGAUUUUUAUACAUCACAAUGGAUAAAUUUAGAAUUUUUAGUGACACAAAAUGAAAUUCAAGGUAAUUGUGUCACAAUUUAUAUAAUUUGAAAAUUUUAUAAUAUUAUAUUUGUAAGUCACUCUGACAUGUCAUUUUUUUGGCUUAAUUCCAAAAAAAGCACCAACUGUAGAUCGAGUAAUAAUUCUGGCCCUAACUUUUUUGGUUUUCUGUCUAGUAAAAAAAUCACAAACUUUCACCCUUAUCCCAAAUUUGUCCUCACUGUUAACCCUCUAUCUAAAGUCAACCUUGUUUCAAGGAAAAAGAUUCUAGUUGUGAGCUUAGUGAAUCUCAUCCAUGGUGUCUCCCAAUGAGCAGUGGUCUACAGCUUCAGAUUACGACAAAACUACAAAGUUUGGAUAGAGAAAUUCAAUUUUGAGAUCUAGGAAAAAAUGAACAACUUCACUCUUAUUCUCCAAGCUAUGGCUCAAAGAAUAAAAUAAUGAAUAGUGCUUUAAAUCUAGUGGCUAGUGAACAUGGAUUUAUUGCUGAGGACAAUCAAUGGUUCUAAAUUAAGGGGGACAAGACUUGGGAUUUGAGUGAAAAUUGGUGAUUUUUUUCAAGACAAAAAAAAGUUGGGGUCAUAACUAUCAUUGGACCUAAAGUUGGUGCUUUUUAUGGAAUUAGGCUCAUUUUUUUAGUACAUUCCUAUUUGCUCAGUGAUCUCCUCAUGCUAUGCAAAAUUAUUCGACUCUCUAAAUUUCAUUGCAAUCAAGGACUUAGGAAUUUGAAGGAUAAUUUCUUUUUUACUUUAGUAUUCUUAUUUUCUCAAAUUUCCUAGAUAUUAUUUUGAUUUUUAAACUUUUCUAUUCAUUAUAUCUUUUUUCAAAUGUUUAAACUUGCCAUGUCAGCCGCCAUACUCAAUUUUGUUAAAUACGUGAAUAGAAAAAACCUCUAGUGCACAAUUCAUACAAAUUAAAGGACUUGAUCGAACAACUCAAAAGUCGAAGGCUUCAAUCUGCAAUUAGCAUAACCUCUUAAAUAAUAAAAUUAGACAUAUCAUAUAUAUACUAACCUCUUGUUUUGACAAGAAGUUCCAUUUUACUCGACACUAUUAUAAUUUUGUAUUUGAACCUUUUCAUGAACUCUAUAGAAAGCAACUUUAACUUUCGUAAGAAGCCACAUCACUUCAAGCUCAUAUAGGUGAAAUAUCUACCAUGUGUCUUUAUUACUAAUAUCACAAUACUAAUUUGUAUUAUACUUCAUUAAGAUUCAAUUCAACCUAUACAUAUACAAUGUAACAGAUGUACUAACUUCUCAUAUUAGAGCUAAUAUCAAUACCAAACAAUCACACUCACUAACUUAUUUUUACCUAUCAAGCCUUGUAACUAAUGGUAUUCUAGAAAAAAAAAAAUUGGGUUACAUUACUGGAAAUUUAAAAAAAAAAAAGAAAGGGUUUUAGCCCAAUUUCUUGUGAGAUUAUAUUUAUUAUGUCUCUUGAUAAACCUUUGUUGAGGGAUAAGUUAGAUUCUUACUUGACCUCAUAUAGAUAAUUGUUAUGGUACCAUCUUGAAUCAAGUGUCUCACGUACUCAUGUCUAAGUCAAUAUGUCUAGACUUAGCAUUAUUAGUGCUACUAUAAGCUCUUACCGGUGUAGCCUGAUUAUCACAAUUGAUAGAAAAUAGAAGGUAUAAGAUUAGGCCAUUAUUUGAAAUCCAACAACAGAUUUCUAAUACCUUCAACCUCUUUCCUAGUCAAUGCUAAAGCAAUGAAUUCAGAGUCUAUCAUUGAGUGGGUUGUGCACGUUUAUAUCUUGCUCAUGCGUCCACCUAAUAUGAAACCUACCCAAAAGUGAAAUGUUUAUCACCCUCCCUUGUAAUCCAACUAGCAUCAUUGUAUCCUUUUAACACAGCUGGAUAAUUAUUGCGGAACAUUUCAAAUUUUUCGUUCUAUUAAUCUAACAAAAAAUUCAAGUAAUAGUUUUCUAUUAUUCUAUACUUUGAUUAUUAGUAUACCUACUCGACUUAUACACGAAAUAAGCAAUGUGAGGUUUAGUACAAGGCAUCACAUAUAUUAAAGAUCCUAUAGCACUCUCAUAUUUAAGUUGUGCUACUGCUCCUAUUUUUUAAUUAUUUAAUUUCGAAUUUAUUAUUUUUUACUAAUGGUUAUUAGUCACUCUUACAAUCUUUGGAAGGUUGUGUUUGUUUGAGCAUGACUUCUUCAUUUUUGAAAGGUUGUAUCCCUUCAAAUACAUUUAUUCAACAAAUAUUAUUUACAUAACUUUCGAUUAACCUUUCAAAGAUAUGCAAUGAUAGUUUUCAAUUGUUUCUUUUGAGAGAUCCUGAAAAAAUACUAUGAUAGCUAUAUAAUAUUCUCAAUUAAGAUUUUACUGUAUCUUAAAGAAAAUUUGCUAGUGACUAUUAGUAACGUUAUGAGACAAAUAAUUUCUUAAAAAAAGUGAUAUCACACUUCAAAGUGUGACUUCAUUAAUAUUCCCAAUCGUUCGUCAUAUUUUCCGGAAAAUUUUUAUAUUUAUAAAUUCGAAUAUUAAUAAAUAAGAAAUAGGAUCGUUCCAUCCCGUCUUUCUUGCUUCUCUUGCUUGGCUCGAUCGAAUCCGCUAUCUCCUGGAUAAACUUCCCACAAUAAAACAAAGCGGGAUCCCAUCUGCUCCUUUUUUUAUAAUGUUCUUGUUUUUUUCUCCACUUUUGAGCUGGGGCACCGGAGGGAACAGAGCAGGAGAUCAACAGAGUCGAACAGAGGGAGGCGAUGGGGAUGCGGUUCAGAUCAGUGAGUCGGGGAAAGAGACCGCGAAAAGGCGGGCUACUGAAAGGCCGUAUCUUAUAUUCUUGAGGCGCUAAAGCUUUUACCUUUCGUCAAAGUGGCCUGCAGUGGGCAAUCGUCCAUGACUCGACUUCAAUAUAUGAUUUGCGCGACCCAUAUCGAUUCAGAAAUGUCCCGAGACGUAGAAACUGUUAAUGCUAAACUUAAGGGACCAUCUUGCCGACCAAAGCUCGGCUCCGAGAAUCCGAGAAUUAAUCGGCAAUGCAAAAAUCCGGGUCGAAGCCUUCUGGGUUUAGGAUGCGGAUUGGUCCUCACAUAAAUGAUUGGAAAGGAAGGGAGAAAAGAACGCAAAAAAAAAAGCUUAAGGGACCAUCGCACAUCACAUUCAUUGCGGUGCCUUUCCAUGUGGUGGAGAUAAGGCUGAUGUAUGCGAGCACAUUUAUGCUAAUCAAGGACUGACCAAAAAAAAAAAAAAAACAUCACUGAUGAUGUAUGGGGACACAUUUAUGCUACUCAACUUCACUUUCUGACAGUAGCAAGGUUGUUUUUAUUUGAUAGAUGGCAUCCGUCUUUGACCGCCGUUUAUCUUCCCGGUCCCGGCUGCCGGAGUAGCCGAGCUGCCGGCUCAAAUGUUACUUUUCAGUUUCUCGAACAACGGCUCCGCCUUAGCCGGUUCGAUUAUCUCCACUCCAUGAUAAUCGCCUUCACCACCGAAAAGGCCCACCACUUCCACGCCCUUCGCCUCCAGCUUCGCCGCCAACUCCCUCUGCCGAUCUAUCAACGGGUCUCCACUGCCAGCCACCACCACCACCCGCCACCCCAGCUUUUUCAUCCUCUCCCACUCCUCCGAUCUCUCCCCACCCGUCGGGUUGCAAUACUCGUGGUCCCGGUCGGCGCCAGCCGGCAGCGACAGCUCCCACAUCUUGUCCGCCACGUUCACCGGCAGGGUUUGGUUGUUGAACAGCCUCACUUCCGACUCGGUCCUCCGGGACCCGCCGAAGAAGGGGUGGUGCAAGAUCAGCCCUCUGAUCACCAGAGGCUCCAGAUCGGCCGCAGCGGCGCACACGCGCAGGCCCACGUGGUACGCGAUAUUCCCCCCGGCGCUCGUGCCCAUCAGGUAGCACCGCGAGAAGUCAACGCCCUCGCGAAGCCACUCCUCCUCGGUGGUGCUGACCCAGCGGAGGGCCUCCACGGCGUCGUCGUAGCUGCGGGGAGGCGGUGCUCCGGAGCGAGGCGGUAGCUUGGGGAGACGACGACGCGCCGAUCUUGGCCGCCAUGAGGGAGCAGAAAACGUGGUGCAUCGCGUCGGCCGGGGAGCAAAUGACGAAACCACCGCCAUGGUAAUACACGACGAGCGGCAGCUUCUGGUCGGGCGGGGGCGAGGGGCGAGGCACGUAGAUCCGGGCCCAAGUGUUGUGGGCCGGGUUGAGCGGGACGUCCUUGGUGCGGACGGCGGAGGGCUGGUCGGGAUCGGGGUCGGCGGGGGUACUCGGCAUGUCGAGGCCGCGCGUGACCGUGCCGUCGGGGUUGACGACGAUUUUGAUGUAGUCAAGGGCAUCGACGGCUGGAGCUGGAUCGAGAUCCGGAUGCCGACCGGCCAUGUUUUGCUUUCUGCUCGAUCUCGAGGUGGGAGCGAAGAAAGGAAUGGGGAACUCGCUUCUUUGCAGCCGUCCGAGUUCUCUCAGUAGCUAAGAAGUCAAAACGCAAUUCAGUGCGACUGCAACGGCCCUGAUGAGGAUUUAAGAACAAACAUUUGUCGGCUCGCCUGUCUGUUUCGCCCACCUCAAGCAAAAGUAAACACGGCCGCCUGCGACCGUUGAUGAUUACGCCCGUGACUUUCCUCGAACCUCGAAAGUUGUCCUCGGCCGCACCAUCAAUCACGCGCCGCCUCGAAGAUUCAACUACCCUAGCCGCCCCUUCGCCGUGCUCCCCAAGGACGACCCGAGCAGGCAUUUUGGACCGUGAUAAGGAUUGGGCCAGAUCAAACUGUAUUCCAACGGUGGGGACUGGGCUGGGUGGGCCGAGUGAUAUCAUGCGGGCCGUGAUAGAACUAGCUCAACACUUAAACAAACUUAUUUAAAGAUUUAAGUAGAGAGUUAAAGACGCGGUUAUGAAUAAAUUAAAUAAGCCUGAUAAAUGGCAUGGUAAGGGUAAGCAUCAGUCCAAAUUUAAC
rnacentral:lncRNA from 1 species